rnacentral:lncRNA from 1 species
UUUCAUUAAGUGGAAAUGAUCGUAGAAAGUACACGGAAACAACAAGCCAAAGGACAUCUCUCUCACACACACGUACGACACGGACGUACAUACGGAGAGAUUUUUUAUUCAGUAUACGACGUAGCAGUAUAUAUAGUAGACAACUCAUCAUCACCCGUAGAUAGAUAGAGACUCAAGCAUGGUCGUCGUCGAUGCUCCGGCGCCGACGACGGCGGCGGAAUGGAUCAUCGAUCGACGAUCAUCAGGUCGUCGUUUCGGUUUAGCUCACCCUGGAGCAGUCGGUGGAGGUGCUGAUGGUGUAGGGGAUGCUGACGCCGCACUUGGAGGGGAUGCUGGCGGCCUUGCCGACGUUGAGGCCGCGGAUGCCACGGGCGGCGUUCUUGAGGCAGUUGCAGGCGGCGCGCCUGUCGGCGGUGGUGCGGGCGGCGGAGUUGAGGCUCCUGACGCCGCUGCAGCAGCCUGCGGAGGGUCCAGAGCCCUGGCCGCGGGCGUAGGACAGGCAGGGCCCGAUGGCGGAGCUCACCUGACCGCAUGUCACGGCGGCCUCCGAGGUCGUCGCCGCCAGCACCACCGCCGCCACGACGGCGAUCGCCACAGCAAGCUUCAUGCUGCGAGCCAUGUCGAUCUCGAUCGACCUCCUGUGAUAUAUGUGCUGAUGCUCGUAGGUGACUGAUAGCUUUUGGGAUGCAGUGAGUGAGCAAGUGCUAGCUGGUGAGGAGAUUGCAAUGGAAUGUUGCUCCUUAAAUAGGCAGGCUUUGUGAUCGAUGUGUGAGCUAGCUAGCGAUUGCUGAUGAGUGAUGUGCAUGCAUGGGAUGGGUGUGCAUGCUGUUUCAGUCGGUGGAUGCAUGCAUAUGCGUAUAUGUCCAUGGAUCGAUGGUAUCUCUCGCCAUGCAUCGAAGUUAACUGCUGGGGAGGAGGUGGUUGGGUGUUGAGGGAGGAGGGCAGAUGCUUGUUUAGUUGUUGUAAUACCCGAUUUUAAGGACAAAACCAGAUAUGCACCAUAUGUGAGUUUUAAAAGCCAAAUCUCACAUAUAGCUACAAAUAAGGGGUAAUAUCAAAAGACAAUGCAAAAAUUAUAUAACGUACAUAAUAUAAAAGAGAUAACCUUUGAUAGCAAACAACGGAUAGACAACUCCAAACUCCGGGUAUUAACUUCUCUCUACAGGAUCCAACUGACUGGUUGAUCACAAGCCUAAACUUCUCCUGAGGUUUGGGGGAAAUAGCAAGAGUGAGUCCAUGUCAAACUCCACAAGUAUAGCAACUAGAUUGUAUAGCUCCCACAAUCUCAUGAUCAAUGUGACAUAAAUAAUGUAAAGCAUUAAACAAUAAGCAAUGAGCAUAUUUAACACACAAGAUUCAUCACCCUUAAUGUAGAUGUCCCCAAGGCCGUUCCUGACCGUGAGCUCGGCUAGUAUACUAGUUUUAACACUCUGCAGAGGUUGCACAUCUUUACCCAUGAGUCAUGAUUUACCCUUUCGCCCGAGGUGAUCAGCCUCUUAACCCACUUCCAAGGAAGGUCGGCAGGGAUCACUAUGAAGCCUUUCAAAAGUUCGUCUAACAUGUUAGGGCCGCAAGGUUUCCUUUGCGAGCAGAUAUAGAUACCCCCCUUCCGAAUGGCACAAUGACGCGCAGCCUAUACACAUAGGGACAGGGGCUCGCACUAUACCCGUGUCGGUUCAGCCCCUCCGCCCUUUCGGGUAACCUCUAACAAGCUAGAAAAGGUCUUCAUACUGAGCUAAAGCCAGAGCCAUUAUAGCCCUCAUGGUUGCACUGUUAUCCCGGGUGAUCACGUACAGACAAAUCAUCAAGUUGUUAAAAAGUCAUUUUUACCAUUUAUUACUUAACAUUAAUCUAGUCACAGGAUCAUGGUCACAGAAAUAAAAUCCAAAUGCUAUACUUGCCUCAAUCCAAUUGCUCUUGCUUAUCCUUUUGGUCCUGCUGGUCUCACUUGUUGCCAAAGCUUUGAUCUUGAUCACCGAAACUGCUCUCCGUCUAAACUCGAUCAUCGAUCAUCAACACACAAACAAUCGGACACAACAUACACGUAGCAAACAAGGCUAUAAUUAGAACAGUACACCAAUCAUAUAAAAACAAUAUGAAAAAUUUGUAAAAUAAUUCUACGCAUCGCUACGAUCUCACAGACGUAAAGAUGACGAAAAUCGGAGUUAAAACGGAAAAGAUAUGGAUUUUCUAAGAUUUUAUAUAGAAAAGUAAUUAAUUAAUUAAGGUCACGAAAUUAAAAGGUUUCAAACUGAGUGAACAAUAUUACUAACAUGUAGUGCUCGUGAUUACGAACCUAACACAAUUUCAAUGGACAAAACGGAGUUAAAACAGAGAUGAUAUGGCCUAAAUAAACUAGCGUAUUUUCUUUGUAUUUUUAGGUUUGUUUUUCUAAAGGAAAACGGCAAUAAAACAUGUCUAUGUUAUAACGACGUCAUCAAGCUAGCCAGCAACGUUUAUUCGCAGAUAUAUGUUAGACAUGUACAUCCCUAGAUCGAUUGCUGCGCAGAUAGAAACAUCGCCGGGCGAAACAAAUCAGUGCAUGCACUUGUAGAGGCUUUGUGAAAUUUCUCACACAGGAAUCGACAUAUUAAAGAUGCAAAGUUACCUCUUAUGGUGAUUAUAAGAUUCAAUAGGACAUGCUUGCCGAACGAUGGGUCAGUGGCCACGUCGUCAAGAACAGGUUGAUCUACGGCAACACCUUCUACUCCCGUGCUCUGUUGCUUGCUACUCUUCACGUGGCCAGCGAUUUGGUCUUCUGCUUCUUUGGUCCACAAUCACGAUGGUUCACCGGAACAUGGCAAGCAGCUCUGGCAAGCAGGACGUGGCAAGAGCAGAGCGGCGGCCGUAACAUGGCAAGGGCAGCAUCUAUCUAGGCAUGGCCGACGGCGGCGGCUCUCAAGGGUUUUAAGGACGUAAACACUCUAGACGAAUAUGACGUGUAUAUAUACGUGCGGUCUAGAUCAAGUUUGAUUAGGGUUAGAACUUAUUAUUUUUGGAAUUAAUUAUUUUCAUGGAUAAAAUAAUUAUAGAAAAGUCCAGAAUUAUUAUUUAAACUAUGAAAAAUAUUCUAAAAGCUCUGAAAAUUCGGAGAAAAUUCUCAGAGACAUUAUGGAAUAUGAGGAACUCAAAUAACGUAUUUGGACCUCAUGAUAAGAUAAUUUGGAGCAUCUAAAAAUUAGAUUUAUGCUCAUAGAAAAGUGAGAAUAGAAGAUGGAAAAAUUCCCGAAAAGUUUGUAGAGAUUGCUUGAUGGACGAGGAACUAAAAGAAGUGCUUUGAGUGACAAAGAAAAGAUUUUAGGAAGCUCCUAAUAAAAAAUUGAGCUGAGAAACCAAAGAAUUUGGUUAUAGAUAAAGAUAAAGACGUACUGGUCAAGGAAGAUCUACUAAACGCAUUUUAAAACUUUGCUCACUCAACACAUAAAGGAGCAACAAGUCAACAUCACAUCAAAACAUAUGCACCAGCAUGUAUGCACAACAAUAUUGCUAAGGCUUAUGAUAAAUUUUAAUUUAAUGAAAAUUAUUAUUUUCCUUAUAUUUUCGUGAGCACAAAAUACAAAACUGAAUAAAUUUUCAUCUAUUUUGAAAAGAGCAAAAUUUAGGGUGUUACAGUUGUCAAAAUUUUUUAAAAUUCUCAAUCAAAUUAAAUCUUGGGACACAAUGUAUCAAAUAUUAAAUAUAGAUAAAAAUUAAUUAAUUAUAUAGUUUGUAUAUAAUUUGCGAGAUAAAUUUUGUAAACCUAGUUAAUCUAUAAUUAAACAAAAAUUAUUAAAUAUAAACGGUGCUAUAGUAACUAGAUCCAAAAAUUUUCACCAACUAAGGGCUUGUACAACGAUGGGCGCUUAUGAUCAGGUAUUGGCCGUUAAAUAGUUUUUUUGCCACACGGUGGAGUCCUGAGCGGGCGCUUAAAAAUAGAUUUGCCGCUCCGUAAAGCAUCGACGCCUAGACCGGCUCCUUGCUUGAUACUGGUGUUUGCAUGCGACGUAACGGUCACAACUUAAGCGCCUUCAAAUACGUGUUGUGUUGUAGAUUAAGGUUAUAAAGAGACGCUUAGUUACAAAAGUAUUUUCUCUUUCCAUCUAAGCGCCUUUUGCAUUGUACGUGCUCUAAACAAGGCCACAGAUACAGACAUACAGUGGUUAGCUGAGGCAGAGUGAAAUCAUUAGCAGCAAACAUAUAAUAAAUAGCAGCCGCCUAGCACGACUUAGCGCCACUUAAGUUUUGUUUAGUUACGCUCGAAAUCCAAAAACUUUUCAAGGUUCUCUUCACGUCGAAUUUAGAGACACAUACAUGUAGCACGACUUAGCGCCACUUAAGUUUUGUUUAGUUACACUCGAAAUCCAAAAACUUUUCAAAGUUCCCUUCACGUCGAAUUUAGAGACACAUACAUGAAGCAUUAAAUAUAAAUAAAAAAAUAACUAAUUACAUAAUUUAUCUGUAAUUUGAGAGACGAAGCUUUUGAGUCUAGUUAGUCUAUAGUUGAACAAUAAUUAUCAAAUAUAAAAAAAAAUGUUAUAGUACCAAAAAAAUCUUUUCACUCACGAACUAAAUAAAGGCCCUAAUCUCAUCAUCCGCCUCACUGUUUAAUCGAAUGUCCUUGAUGGCCACCCACAGGCUCACAAAACCUGAGACGGUGAGACCUUGCCUGGGGUAGUAUAUGGGGCCAAUGGCCAAUCCAUUUAUCAGUUUGCCCAAGGCAGGUGGUGGGCCACUCUGUUCAAUUUUGAGUCUAAUAUAUGCAAUAUCUUCUCUUUUGUGCAAUUUUUGUCCGUGGGUUCAAACAAUCCUGCCACCGUGUCACCGGUGGCUGAUCGUGUCAACCCUUCGCCGCAGUCCGCUCCACCACAGUACGGGGGGCCCAGUUGCAGUCUCUGCCACCGCAGUAGGGAUGUUGAACUUGUAAUAAUAAAUAUGUGAGUGCUUUUAAUAUAUAAUGCAUGUUGGUGAUAUAGAUGUGAUAAUUGGCGUGUGUGUAUAUAUAUUGUCUGUUACAAUGGAAUGUAAAAAAUAAAACAAAUACAAUUCUCGGGGUCUUCGCCGAGUGCGGUGCCAGGGUCACUUGGCAAAGCAAUUUAAAAAAACAAUUUUGCCGAGUGUCGGGGCCACGACCACUCGGCAAAGAAUUUUUCUUUAAAAAAGAAAAGACACUUUGCCGAGUGCUGAUGCUAGGGGCACUAGGCAAAGUAUUUUUAAAAAAAACAAAUAUGCGGAGUGCCGCGGCAAGGGACACUCAGCAAAUAUUUUUUUUUUAAAAAAAAAGAAAGAAAAUCUUUGUCGAGUGCCUGAGGCCAGAGGCACUUGGCAAAGCAAUUUUUUUUAAAAAAACUUUGCCGAGUGUUAAGGGGCCAGGGGCACACGGUAAAAUAUUUUUUAAAAAACAAAAACUUUGUCGAGUGUCGUGUCGGGCAACUCGGCAAAAUAACUGUUAACGGCAGAUGCUGUGACGGCCAAAAAUGUUGCCGAGUGCUGUCGUAAGCACUCAGUAAAAUGUUUUUAAUAUUUUGCUAAGUGCCUCGGUAAAAAGCACUCAGCAAAGUCUCUUUGUCGAAAAUUUUUUUGCCGAGCGAACUUUGCUGAGUGCUACGUUCGGCAAAGCCUUUGCCGAGUGCAAAGGGCUCUUUGUCGAAUGUAAAAACACUCGGCAAAGUCCUAAUUUCCAGUGGUGGGUGUGCUGGGACAAUUUAGAAAGCAAGCAACGAUUUCAUUUUGCGUUAGAUCACUCCCAUCCUCGAAGCCUCAGUUUUUUUUUUCAGAAAUAAGUUCCAGCUGUUGCUGCUGAGAACUAAAAGAAGCUUUUCACCCUUGAUUGAUCAAUGGAUUGGCUCUCUAGUUUAACAGGCUUCUUUGUUGUACUCUUUUUGCUCUUUUUUCCUUAGUUUUUUUGUUCCUUAGUUAAGACUCCACCCUACUGCCUCCUUAACUGUUGUGCUUUUUUUUUUGUAAAAGACCUUUUUUAUUAUAAUUUUUGCAUUGUUGUAGGGGUGCAAACCCCUCCAAUCUCCUUCAAAAAAUUCAAAAGUAAUAUAACCUUGCAGAACAAAGGACGGUAAUCCCACCAUUUUGCUAUGUGAGCCCACUCCUCUUAUUUUUUUUACUUUUAUUUUGAUUAUGCCCACUCCUGUUAAGCAGUCAUUUGUUCCAUUCCCUAAAUAUAUUUCUAUUUUUUAGAAUAUUCAAUAAGGCGUAUAUACAUUAUAUUUUAAGAAAUAAACUAUAUUCAAGACAAAUCUACCCACAUCAAUAUUACUUGUAUACAUUCAAAUAAACAUGUAGACAUAAUAAUUCGAUAGUUAAGGUUUCAAAAUGAUUGAAAUAAGACAACUUGAAAUAUGUCACAAUAAAAAAUUAUUUGUGGUCAAAGUUUCUGAAAUUAUUGACUUACGACAACGUACAUCCAAGUGUCACUUAAUUGCUUUGUGAGCAGAGGGAGUAUAUAUUUUGGCAAGUUACCCUCCAUCUAAAAAUAUAAAACACAUGUUUUUAGGACAGUAAGAUUUGACCAAUAGGUGCUUGUGCCAUUAAUAUGCAUAAAUCAUAGAUACUUUUGAAUACAAAUAUCUAGUUACAUCAAUUUGCUACCACAAAAUUGCAAGUAUCUUGGUUAAAGCCAUGUCUAACAAAACAUGAGCUUUGGGAUGGAUAUAUAUCAUAUUGGUGUGUACGUUUAGUAGUCUCUCUUCGUUUCAAUUUAUUAGAUGUUGUUUUGGCUUUUGUAGAUACAAAAAUUUUUUUAUGUAUCUAGAUAACGUUUAUUAUGAUAUAGAUAUAUCGUAUAUCUAUAUGCCUAAAAAACUGAAUAUCUAGAAAAACUAAAAUAACCUAUAAUUUAGGAUAGAGGGUGGUAAUAAUUAUACAUCUUCUGCUACCAAGUCCCUUAAUUACAGCACACAGCUCUGUUUUCUAGUUGCCUUGAUCGUUCAUCAGAUGAAUUAUGUAUUUGAAGAGUAGCGCGUGUGUGGUCAUGUCAUGAAAACGUGCUAGCUAGGUACUUGUUUUAAUUUCCACCGUGUGAGUAUUUUUUUUUUUCAAGUGGCGAGAGUUCAUUAAUUAAAUAAAACCAUUCAAUUUUUCAAAUCACAAUACGUUGUCUGCAAAUCCUCUGAGUCAGCCAGUUUUUCGUUACGUGCUAUACUCCGUCCAUUCUAAAUUAUGUUUUUUAAACUUUUUGGUAUAUUCAUUUUGCUACAUACUAAAAAAAUUAAAAAUAACUUAUAAUUUAGAACAGAAGAGGUAUAUAUAUAGUUGCAUAUAUGCUGACAAGUGUUUGGGGGAGAAUAGAGCAGUAACUCUCUUGACCAAGCGUUUGGGAGUCAUGGAACACAGUCACAUGGCGCAUGCAUGCGUAACAACAAUUUGGAAACAAAGAGAUGUGUGUGUGCAUGUAGCAGUGAUCGAACUAGUACAAACCACAGGAGCGAGAGGAAACGUACACGGACAUAAAUAAUAAACACCGCACAUAGUGCAUGCACUCAAAAAUAAACCCAACAAGCAAAAGUACAUCUCUCACACACACAUGUACACACGCACGUACGUACAUACGCUAAGAUGCAAGCGUAUCACAGCGUACACGACGACACGUACGUACAUACGGAGAGAUUUUUAUUCAGUAGUACGACGUAGCAGUAGUAGACAACUCAUCAUCUCAUCAUAUCAGGCGUAGAUAGAUACUCAUCCAUGGUCGAUGCUCCGGCGCCGAUCGACGACGACGGCGGCGGCGGCGGAAUGGAUCAUCGAUCGAUCGAUCAUCGUUUAGGUUUAGUUCACCCUGCAUGAUCAUGCAUGCAUGGAAGACGAAGCACAAGUUAAUUAAACGACUUGAUAUUCAAGUUGAAUCAGACCAUGCAUGCAUGCAAAGUUGCAAACAACUUGUAGUGAUUGGAUCAUUCAUUCAGAUCAUCACUUAAUUACCUGGAGCAGUCGGUGGAGGUGCUGAUGGUGUAGGGGACGCUGACGCCGCACUUGGAGGGGAUGCUGGCGGCGUUGCCGGCGUUGAGGCCGCUGAUGCCACGGGCGGCGUUCUUGAGGCAGUUGCAGGCGGCGCGCCUGUCGGCGGUGGUGCGGGCGGCGGAGUUGAGGCUCCUGACGCCGCUGCAGCAGCCUGCUGAGGGUGCGGAGCCCUGGCCCCGGGCGUAGGACAGGCAGGGCGCGAUGGCCGAGCUCACCUGCCCGCAGGAGAUGGCCGCCUCCGAGGUCGUCGCCGCCAGCACCACCACCGCCGCCGCCGCCACCACGGCGAUCGCCACAGCAAGCCGAGCCAUGUCGUCGAUGUUCUGGGGGUGUCUGAGACUUGCUUGUACUAGCUUUGGAAUGCAAGUGAGCAAGUGCUAGCCGCUGGUGAGGAGAGUGAGAUGGAGUGUGGCUCCUUAAAUAGGCAGGCUUGCGAUCGAUCUGAUCUGAUCUGAUCUGGGAGCUAGCUACAGUAGCUUGUCAUUGCUGAUGACAGAUGUGCAUGCAUGCACGGUGUUGUUGCAUUGCAUGCAGUUUCAGGCAGGCAGUCGGUGGAAUGGUGGAUGCAUGCAUAUGAAUGAAUGAAUAUGGUGGAUGUUCCAACAUCAUCUUCCAUGGACGACGGACGGUAUCGUCGCCAUCCGUCGAAGUUAAUUGCUGGGCAGGAGGUGGUUGGGUGUUGGGAGCAGGAGGCAGAUAGAUACAGAUAAUACUACAGCGGUUAGUUGAUGAGGGCAUGAUCGAGGCAGAGUGAAUUCAUUUGCAGCAGCAAUAGCAACUUAUUAGGGUAUGUUAUACUAUAACACUUUCGUUUAUAUUUAGCAAUAAAUAUUUAAUUAUAGACUAACUAGACUCAACAAGUACUUUAUCUCGCGAUUUACAUAUACAAACUAUGUAGUUAAUUAUUUUUUUUUUAUUUAUAUAUAUUUUAUGUUUCGUACAUGCGUCUAAAGAUUCGAUGCGACGAGAAAUCUUAUAAACAUUUAGAAUUUUAAAGACAUUUAAACACGCCCUUAAAUAGCAGCCGCCUAACACGACUUAGCAGGCAGGGUGAUGGCGGCAGUCGGCAGGGACGGACGUACGUGGCUCUCAUCUGAUGAAGUUGGAGGCGUAUUCACUCUCUCUCACUAGUGUGUCAGUGUGAGGUAGUUUGCAGUUGGAUCCGAGUGCUUAUCGCACAAUAAACACAUACUCUUCCUGCAUUAAGACGUCAAUUAUAUAUGGAUCGUCCAUCAUCCAUGAAUCCUUCCAGUAGUCUUCGUUAAUUCCUCCCGGCCGCAACCAGAAACAGAGAUAUCAGUACAGUGCAGGAGGUUACAUGCACAUUCACAAAUUGAAGUUGCAGCAGUGGUAGCGAUUAAGUUGUCCAGCAAGUAUGGGAGCCCACAUGUCGCUGUCUCGAUCGGAAGCUCCGCCACGUAUUACAUACAUGCAUCCCGUCCCCAACCUAGCUAGCUACCUCUGUGUGCACAGGCAGGUACCACCGACGGUUUCCCAAAACUCGUAUGUGUCCGACCCUCAAAAACAAAUCUCUCAAUUUUUGUUCAAAACAAACAAAUUUUUUAAAAUUUUAGAUUCAAAAACAAACAACUUUUGACCAUCAAAGAAAAAUACUGCUCUACCUCGAUCCGUUCUAAAAAGAACUUGGGAUUAUAUUCUAGAAAGUAACAGAUAGAUUCGUGUGUAAUGUUUAGAGAUGAGAUCUUGUAUGAAAAGAUUGGUUGAUGCGUAUAGAGCAACUUCAACCAAACUUCUAAAUGAACCUCUACCUUUUUAUAUAAAGGGGCUAAAACUCAAAUAUACUCUCGAACUGAUCCGGUCCCGACGGAGAGGGGCUCCCAUUUAUCUUUCCUCUAGAUGUAUGAGGCGGUGUUUCGGAUGGUUUGAUUCAAUUCCUUGCAGCUGCUAUUCAAUGAUGUCUUAACUGUAGCUCAUUUCUACCACUCUUAAUUAUGUAUGGCGAAGAGAAGAUUAAGCUCCCAAUCGAGUCCGAGUUGGAGGAUUUCGGUGCAACGUGGAGUUUGAUCUCUGCAUGGAUCGUUAAAUCUAAGUUGAGGUCAAUGUUUGUACUACAGAUCAUAGUACAUUGUGGUUGCCCUUGUUUGUAUGAGAUCUAGUGUAGAAUUUGUUGAUACUUUGUUGGCUACACAUUUGAUGGUUCCUUUCACUUAGGUUUCUUGGAUGAGCAGUUGUAAAUGCCAUUGCUUUCAUUAGUCGGCAGUUUGGUGCGCAUAGUGGUGUUCACAUGUGCUAGUUGCUCAUUUAGUGAUUGUGGUUCCUGAAUUAUGUGUUUGAGGUGGAGCACAUUUAGAAAGUAUGGAUUUGCAUUCUUCACUAUCUGUUCAAUUAAUGCCUUAGGUGAUUUCUUCGCAUACCCUUUCGUGAUCGAGCAAUUUGUUCAGACUUGGGUUAGAAGGCAGUAGCACAUGCUCAAACAUUUGCUGCGGUUAGAAUUUGUCGAAGACUCAGUUUUGUUCAUCUGAAUUUGGUGAGACACGAUUUGAACUUCCUAGUUAUUCUUGCUUGCUCGAUUUGGUAGCUUCUUGUGAAGCAUUUGUUGGUGGUUUUGUUAGUGUAUUUGACUUGGUGUUGGAGAUUUGAGCAUUUUGCAUCAUGAUCAUUGGUGUGUUGGCCAUGUUGUUCACUCAUUGGAGUUCACUCAUGAAUUUGUUUCUAGCUUCAUCAUUUGCCAAGUCAAAACAAGCUACCUUCAUGUUGGAGGCGAUAAAUUUGUCUUUUUUAUUAUUUAUUUGAAGAUGAAGGAUUUGAAGAUUGGACUUCCCUCAUCAAGAAUCUUGAUGUGUUCGCUCUAUGGUUCAAUCGUCGCCGAGGUAUAGAAUUGUGAUGUUGCAGCUUCUAAUAACACCAUUUGAGGCUUUACAUUAUGCAGAAUGUUACCUAUAUGUUUGGUUAGGUGUCUAGGAACUUAUUUGUGGUAAUCUGUAACUUUGAGAGCCUUUUAAUGAAAUGCCCAAACCAGCCCAAAAAGGGCAUCCCAAGCUCCCUGCUUCUGUAGGUGCAUGCUCUUCCCCUUUGGGGGGUUGAGAGAGGCCGGGAGAGGAGAUUUGAGGGUGGGGCUUUGUUUUACCAAAUCUGAACAUUAUAGAGUGAAAUCGGAGGGGAUUUAGAGCCUUCGCCAACCUUGUUAGUUCACGCCUCUUGUAUCAUCAUCUUCACAGUGGAUUGCUUGCUCGUCGCCGCCUGUGGUUUUUCCUACAAGGGGUUUCCACAUAAAUCUUAGUCUCUACCUAUGAUUCAGUAUUUAUCUUGCCAUACUUGUUGAUUCAUACCAAUCUUGCUUACAUGGUGUCAUUUCUCCAAGUUCAUGGUGUAUGAUUGAUAUUGACGUAUGAUGCAUACAUGCAUUCUCUUAUAUGUUAAUGAUGGGGAUUGAUGUGUUAGUGAGUUCAUAUUUACAAGUAUACUCAUUAUUGUGAAGUUUGCAUAGCACCAUGUCUGAAGAAUUGAUAAUAUGGGUCUGAUUUGUAUUUUGCACAUAAGGUGUUAGUUGAAAUAUUCAUGAGUAACUAGCUUGCUAAUUUUGAUGUUUCCUCUGCCUCUAUGCGCUUACAAUAAGUUUAUGGAAUAAAUUUUAGAUCCUUAAUUGAUAUUUAUCUUUGGAAAUAGAGGAAGUAAUAAAUGGUCCCAAUUUGCUAGCCACUUGUACAUAGUUAUACUAUAUACAAGCUUAUGCAAGUCAAAAUGUAAAAAACAAGAAGAACCAAGAAACAUGAACAAAAUACAUACAUACACUUAUGCAAGAUGUAGUAUAUAACUUUUAGGACAAUAUUUAUUUUGGCUCUGUUUCACUAGUGGAGUAGCUUUUUCCACUGGUAAAGGUAAAAUUGUUUUAGUUGUUUGGUCAAACAACUUCUCUAAUUCUUAAAAACAAAAAAUGACUAUAAUACUCUUUUUUGGCUGGCCGAGCUUUAAAAUUUUUAUCUUCUUUUUUAUGAAUUCUUCUUUAUGUGGCUACCAUCUGUUUGUCCUCCCCGCUUAUCCCCUGGUGCCCCGACCCGUCCACCUCCGCCUCAGCUUUGCCACCUUCAUCCUCAUCCAGCCACCAGAUGUUUCUCCUCAGUGUUCAUCCCAUGGUCCCCGCCCAUCUCCCACCGGUGACUCCACCCCUCACACCUCAAUGACUCCACCCCGCCCUUGUUACAUCAUUCUUCGUUGUAGUUUUGUUUGCAUCCAAUGACUUCAGUCACCCCCACAACUCUAGCCCCAUGCCACACUUGUCAUGGUGCAUGUAUUUGCCGCACCAUGCCUAUACAAAGAUGGCCCUCAUGACUUGAUGGAAGAGCUAAGCAAAGCCAUUUUUAGCUUCCCUAGAUGUGAGCGCGUGUAAGAUCGUGUUUUCCGAAGUUAGCACGAGGAGUAGCAACAGCUUUCAAGAUGGCAACGGGCCCCGAUCCCCGAUGGGGAUUUCAUCCAUUAGGGGACGAGAACGGGAAAAUUUUGAUCCCCGUAGGGGGACUUCAUGAGAAAGAAGGAUCCUCCAUCAGGUGAAGCGGGGAUGCAAACAUUCUAGGCUUCAUCCUUUAGCCUGACCCAACAAAUGAAAUAGGUCCAGUUUCUAACACCUAAAAAAAUCAUAUAAAAGCAAGAGCAUUUGUAACCCUAGUGAUCCACCAUUGCUUCUAGGCUUCUAGCUGAGUUGUCACUUCCACCGGUCCUCCUCCACUCCUCCUGUAUGCCUCUAAAGUCCAAGCUCAUCCUAUCUCCCUCUCUCCCCUCUACCCUCUGUCUCGCACCAACGACGUUGUGGUGGCGGUGAUGCUUGCGGGCUGUGGCCACAUGCUCUGGUAAGCAAGCACUGCUCUAGGGUUGAACCUGACAACAGCGGAGCCACGGAUGAGGUGUUCAAGGGAAGACGUGAAGGGCAACACCAAGGGGUUUAUCGGGGAUAGAGACCCCGCCGAGUGUGUAAUCUCGGGGACAGGGAUGGGGAAAUCUGGUACCCAGGUGCAGGGAUAGGAACAGGGACGGGGAGCGGGGUGUUUUUCUUUUCUCAUGGUCAAAACGUUCAAGCAAAACCUGACGGGGAUAGCCCCGUUGCCAUCUUUAAACGGCUCUCCUUCACCUGUUCGGUAGACGAACACGUAGACCAACUCUAGGAGCAGUUUGAUUUACAUUUCCUGACGGUUGACGGAGUUAGUAAUUAAUUACGUAAGAGUAGUUGAAGGAGCUUCCCGGCACCAUAUACUUGCGAGUGAUAUGCAGGGGUUACAAUAAUUACAGUUUACAAUGCUCGUCUCUUUAAUUAUGCGACGGGACGUGACGAUGGCCCAGCGGCUCAGCUGCAUGCAUGGAUCAAUCGAUCGAUCGCCAAUUAUCAAAAAAACCAAUCGAUCGACAGCUAGGUAAACUACCAGCUGCGGAUUAUAAAUUAUUCACGCUCAUCAUAUACAUAUAUAAUUAUAUAUACACGUACGUACGCUUCUGAGUACGAGCGACGAAAGUGUGGUGCAAGUGCAGCGUACAUGCCGGUACAGCGGCCAUCAUAUCAAGAUAUGUAUCCAUCUCCUACUACUGUACACAUUUGUAUCCUUACGGAGAUACAGUAUAUCAAGAUCAUCCUCUGACUCACUGCAUAGUCUGCACCGCAUCACGUACGUGCCGAAUACGUACAAGACUGAUUCAUGCUACAUAGUACGUGCGCCACACUCCUCGAUCGAUCGGUACAUCUUCACGUGUCCAUGUUCCUCAUCAACGAAUUAAUGCAUUUGUUUUCACAUGCCGCAUGCAUGAGAGUCGUCGGUCGUGGUGCCACUGUGCACACAUGCUUGAGUCCUUUGCUUUUCCUGUGCUCCAAUUCUUUUUUUCCAUAUACUCUACUCCCCGUCCCAAAAAAAGUGUCGUUUUAGAAUUUCAAACAUCUUAUUUGAUCAUCCAUUUUAUUCAAAAUUUUUACAUAAGUAUUAUAAAUUUUGUUAAGACCUAUUUAUCAUUAGAGAUACUUUACUAAUGAUUUAUUUAUUUUAUAAUUUACACAAAAUUUUUGAAUAAGACGAACGAUCAAACACGAUUUCUAAAAAUAAAAAACGUCACUUUUUUUAGAAUGGAGGGAGUACAUUAUUUUCAGAUGCCCAUCCUAGAGUAUGUAGUACCAUUCCAUGUAACAGCUAGUACCUUGUACCUAGGAUGGAGUACGUACUACUCGUGCUUGCAGUAGCGCGCGAAAGUGGACGACAGCACGCCCAUACGGCCAUCCGCUCACCAUUGUCUACAUCCUAGCUUUCUACGUACGUGUGUACCUGUACAUAUAGUCAUAAACCUAUAUCUACAUUUUUUAAUAAUAAUUUAUAUCCAUACCCUAAUAAUUUUAAUAAUAAUGAAUAAUAAAAGAAGCAAAAAAUUUCCCAUCCCUCCUAUUACUGCUUUAAGUAAAAAAAAAGACCUUCACGGACGCGGCAACACUUGUGUUAGGAUGAAAGAUAGAAAUGAGGCACAGCCAAUCUGUCGUCUUGUGAUGAAUUACGAAAAGAAUAUUUGUCAUCAGAUCAGUAGUAGAAUUAACAAUCACACGUAGAACAGACACAAUGAUUUAUGUGAAAGACCUUUUCAAGGCAAGAAGUAAAAACUAUGGAACCAAACGCUCUACUCCAAGCUUCCACUAUAAGUACAAUGAGUGUAGAAGGAGUUUUAUCUAGGGAAUCUAGAGUUAACCAGCGAUAACACAUUCAUCAAAUUACAAACUUGCCAUCAGUUAGAACCACAACCUUCUAACAAUAAGAGGAAUGACAACAACGAAGUAAAGAACUCAUAUAUUUUGUUCCCCUUUGGUAUCAAUUUAUAUCUCAAACUAUAGCUUUAUUGUGCAUUAAUUUUGAAAUGCAUAUAGAUCCACAAGUCCCCUAGCCACUGAUCAAGUUUUAGCUCAAUUGGACACCAUUUCACCAUCCAAAACAAUCAUCUACCAAAAUUUCUCUCUGUCUUGAAACUUAGUAACCAGAGCUGACAAAACAUACCCUUUCAAAUCUGGUGCUCUAAUCAACCGAUCCUCAAACCAACUGAACAUAUCAAACUAACCUAAUUGAGGAAUGAGCUAACCAAGUUUGGUCCCAAUCCAUCUAUGUUUGAGCCUACAAUCACUGGCUUUAAGAUGGCUGGUUAGAGCCACCAAAUCUCGAUAGAUUUGGUUCUUCUUAUUGUUCCUCCUCUUUGUCUAUCACGUUGUGGUGUUCUUGUGUUUCUCAACACCCCUCUCUUAGCUCCAACAACUAAAGGAAUAAAAGCUAGGGUUUUUAUUUUUAGUUUCCAAUUAAGAUUGAUCUUCACCGUUGGUUCCAACUAAAAUCAACAACUCACAAGAACUAGCCUCAGAGUUAUAUUUUCAGCUGCUUUGCGGAGCUCAAGAUCAUCCUCUAUAUGAAGGGACAGACUAGCACUUGUGUCAUAGCUUGGUCGACUGAGCUUGAGAUCCAACGGUGGGGUGGUGGGGCUCUAGAGCCCCCUCCUACGGCUACUGGACCUAUGGAGUCUCCAUAGGAAUUUUUUAUCAUGGAUGCACUUGAGGAGAGGCUGAAGCUAUCUAAAGGUUUAAAGAAAUCUCCCUAGACAUUUUUGCUAGAUCCGUUCCUAUAUGUGAUACAACCAGUGCAUUCAAUAGCCAGUAGCCACCAAAUCACUAGAAUUUAUUUGAUUUAAUUAAAGUAAAGUUUGGUUCCAACUAAAUUAAUAAAUUUAAUAAAAUGAUUAGUUUAUUAUCAUCUACUUUGGUAGAUCCAGACAAUCGCACGAGAAGUUGUAGGUGUGUACUUGUGUUACAGCACAGCAGCAUAUAUGAGCAUAUUCGUUAUGCCAAUAUUAUACACAAAGAAAAAGAGUCAUGGACGAGGCGGCAAUUGCUGUCGGUGGAUGGCUACCUUUCGGAAGCUAGCCACCGUACACACUCUUUUGGCCGGCCGGCGUCGGCGUGCUGCCAAGUGCAACCUCCCCAACGCUAAGCAGGUAGUGAUAUUAAUGCCGCUGCCGGUGAGGCUCGUCGUCGUCGUCGUCGUCGUCGUCGUGUGACACAAACAAGUCUACCAUCACCCAGAGUGGUCCCGGACACUGUAGGACACGCGUAGUGUAUGUACGCAAUGUCGUCGUCUGCUGCCCUGCUCAACGAUGUGUUCUAACUUUAUUACACGGUACCUGUACGAGGGUAGCAGCAGCUGCUCGGCUGCUGCAGGUGGAUCAUGCACACGCGCGCAACUCCAACACUACCCUAAACUUCACUUGGCAAAUCUUGAAUUUUGCAAAGUGUAAAACUCAAAUGCCAAGUGAAAAAAAGAGGCUUCUGUUAGCUAUUUCUUUUGACAAAUUUGGACUAUCUUGUGAUUCCUGAAAAAAUCAGAGAGACUUUUAUACAAAAGUUGCAAUCUAUUUAAGGCAUGCGUGCAUGCUGAAUGUGUGGGUCCCACCGCGUAGGCAGGAUGCCAAGCGCUCCCAACGCUCUUAAAUUUGAGCCAGUUGGCCCUCUUUUUGCCAAGCAUCCUAUUUUGCCAAGUGCAUAUAGAGUAGUGUUGGAGGAGCUUUUCCAUGUUUUGCCAAAAAUUAGGAUUUGCCAAGUGCAUAUAGGGUAGUGUUGGAGUUGCUCUAAGGACGUCCAGAACAGCCAUCUAAGGUCUCUUUGGUUGGACUUUUGAACCUGCUUUUGCUUUUGUAAAAGCCAAAAUCCAACCAAAGGGCCCAAAAGCCACAAGUGCUUUUGCCCAAAAGCAGCUUUUCUCGUAGUACAAAUCCAAAAGCACCUCACCCCCUGCUUUCACUGACUUCUGGGAUCCGUUCAGUUUUUUUUUCCAAAAGCCACGAGUGACCAACCAAAUGACUUUUGGGUUUCUCAAAGCCCACAUCCCACAGUAGCUUUUCAAAAGCUCAAAGCUCACAGUAGCUUUUCCAAAAGUCACAUCCCAAUCAAACACACCCUAAGGCCUUGUUUAGAUCCAAAUAAUAGAUCUACAGGAUCUACUAGCAAUAGAAAGAACAGGGAUUCGGGAUACAUAAGUAACAUAGACAGUAACAUAAAUAUGCACACUAGAUCUAUUACAUAGGGAAUAGAAACAGGUAGAUCUAGAGUAUAGGGAUUCGACCGUCGUUGGCGGCGGGUGUAGAUCCAGUGGGGUCCAUGGCGAGGGCGUUGACGCGGUGACGGAGUAGAUCCCGUCGUCCUUCGGGCCUCCACCGGCACUGACCGACGACGGCGGGGUAGGAGUAGAAGGGUGACGGCGCGGUGGUGCUUCCCGACGCCACUGCGCACUGUCGAUCGGCGACCUAGGGUUGUGAGUAGGGUUUGGCGGCGCACGACGAACUUCGUGUUGUGUGCCAGUAGCCCCCUACUCCUAUAUUUAUAGCGCAGCGCGUCGGGGGCCCACCAACGAUAGAUCGAUUGGACGCCCCCGAUCAGGGCGCGAUCCAGGGGGAAAGGCCCCAGCCGUUGGGCUGGGCCUGAGAUCAAUAUAACAUUCUCCCUCUUGAUCUCAUCUGUGCUUUCUCGCUUUGUCAACUCACCCCGUCACAAAUCAGUGUAUUGAGCAUGCUUCAUCUUAGCAGUUAUCACUGCUAGAUUAGACAGCCACAAACACUUUUCUGUUUAGAGAUGAAUUCUCGCCUUGGGCCCCUUGCUAUCCAGGAAUCACAGGCUUUCCCUUAAACCCAUGUCGGCUACAUGUUCUCUGAACAUACUGGGCGGUAAGCCUUUCGUAAGCGGAUCCGCUAGCAUCUUUUCUGUGCUUAUAUGUUCAAGACUUAUGAUGUGAUCUCGGAUUUUAUCCUUGACAACAUAAUAUUUUAUGUCAAUGUGCUUGGCGGCAUUGCUUGACUUAUUGUUGUGAGCAUACAACACUGCUGGCUCGUUGUCACAAUACAACUUUAGUGGUUUAUCGAUGCUGUCGACCACCUUUAAACUGGGUAUAAAUUUCUUAAGCCAAUUCACCUGUCCUGAUGCCUCAUAACAAGCAAUAAACUCAGCAUACAUUGUGGACGAUGCAGUGAUUAUUAUUUGUUUUGAGCUCUUCCAUGAUAUGGCUCCUUGCACGAGAGUGAAUAUAUACCCUGAGGUAGACUUUCUAUCAUCUUCCGCGUAAUCAGAAUCUGAAUACCCUACUAUUUGUAGGUCAUCAGAUCUUCUAUAGGUUAACAUAUGAGCCCCUUCGUGCCUUGCAAGUAUCUUAAGAAUUUCUUUACUAGAUUCCAGUGUUCCAUACCAGGAUUACUUUGAUAUCUACCAAGUAGCCCGGUCACAAAAGCCAGGUCCGGGCGUGUGCACACUUGAGCAUACUGUAAGCUUCCGACAGCUGAAGCGUAUGGAACGGCUUGCAUGCAAUCGCGCUCGAACUUGCUCUUGGGACAUUGAUGUUCCCCAUACUUGUCACCUUUUACAAUAGGAGCAGGUGAAGGUCUACACUUAUGCAUAUUGAAUUUCUUCAAUAUUUUCUCUAUAUAUGCCUCUUGGGACAAUCCCAAUACCCCUCGACUUCUAUCUCGGUGAAUCUUUAUGCCCAAGACAAAAGAAGCUUCACCUAAAUCUUUCAUAUCGAAAUUUGAGGACAAAAAUCUCUUGGUUUCCUGUAGUAGAGUGACACCACUACUGGCUAGUAGAAUGUCAUCUACAUACAGUACUAGGAAAAUGUAUUUCCCAUUCUUAAACUUUGCAUAUACGCAAUUGUCCUCAACAUUCUCUUUAAACCCAAACUUUCUGAUUGUCUUAUCAAACUUUAAAUACCACUGCCUGGAUGCUUGCUUUAAUCCAUAAAUGGAUUUCUUCAGGCGACAACCCAUUCUUUCUUUGCUUGUCACAACAAAACCUUUCGGUUGUGCCAUGUAUACUCUUUCUUCUAGAUCCCCAUUGAGGAAAGCUGUCUUCACAUCCAUUUGAUGCAAUUCUAGAUCAAAAUGUGCCACUAGGGCCAUUAUGAUUCUAAAAGAGUCCUUGCUCAAGACGGGAGAGAAUGUUUCAUUAUAAUCUAUCCCUUCUCGCUGAGUAAAACCCUUGGCUACCAGUCUUGCUUUGUACCUUUCUAUGUUCCCUUUGGAGUCACGUUUCACCUUGUAGACCCAUUUGGAGCCUACUGUUUUGGCUCCUUCAAGAAUUUCCUCUAGGUCCCAAACUUUAUUGGUACUCAUAGACUUUAAUUCAUCUUCCAUGGCUUCUUGCCACUUAGAUACUUCGGUGCUCCUCAUGGCUUCUUCAAAUGAAGUGGGUUCAUCCUCCAUCUGAACUUCUUUGCAUUCAUAGACUAUAUAGUCAUCUGGAAUAGGAGACUUUCUCGCUCUUUGAGGUCUACCAGAAGUUUCUGGUACUGGCAUUUCUUCUUGAGGUUGCUCUUGUUGGGGCUGCUGUUCUUCAACUAUGGGUUCAUUCGGCUCCUGAAGGACAAGUUCCGAAUUAGCCAUAGGCGAAAAAGCAGCAGGUGUUGUCACUACUAGUGUAGAUCCAACAACAACAGGCAGCGUAAAGUAGGGUUCUUGCACCAUGGGAAUGGGCACGAACACCCGCUUCUCUGCAAGGGUAAUUUCUCGCGCUGCCUUGCUCCCCCUGAUCAUCUGAUCUUCUAGAAAACUAGCGUGUCUCGGUUCCACAAACUUGGUAUGUCUACCAGGGCAGUAGAAACGAUAACCUUUUGACUUUUCUGGAUAGCCAAUAAAAUGACAACUUACUGUUUUGGGGUCUAGCUUUCCUAUGUUUGGGUUAAAUACUUUUGCUUCAGCAGGGCUCCCCCAGACACGCAAAUGGUUGACUGAGGGUUUCCUGCCGGUCCACAACUCAUACGGUGUUUUAAGUACUGACUUGCUUGGAACUCUGUUGAGAAUAUGAAUGGCGGUUUUUAAGGCCUCCAUCCACAAACUCAAUGCAGAGUGGAAUAGCUCAUCAUGCUGCGCACCAUAUCCAUUAGAGUACGGUGACGCCUUUCUGCUACUCCAUUCUGCUGUGGGUCCCCUGGCAUUGAAUACUGGGCUACUAUGCCAUUUUCCUGUAAGAACCUCGCAAAAGGUCCAGGAACUUGUCCAUAAGGGGUAUGUCGACCGUAGUACUCCCCCCCCCCCCACGGUCAGAUCUUACUACUUUGAUUUUUCUGUCUAGUUGGUUUUGAACCUCAGCCUUGAAUAUCUUAAAUUUGUCUAAAGCUUCUGAGCGUUCUUUGAUUGGAUAGAUAUAUCCAAAACGAGAGUAGUCAUCUGUGAAUGUGAUGAAGGAAUCAAAACCAUCCACAGAUGUCACUGGAAAAGGUCCACAGAUGUCUGUGUGGAUCAAUUCUAGUACUCCUGUGCUUCGCUUAGUGCCUUUCUUUAUGUUCUUUACUAACUUGCCUUUAAUGCAAUCGACGCAUUGCUCUAACUCUGAGAGUUCUAGUGGUGGGAGGAUUGAUUCUUUAACUAAGCGUUCUAUUCUCCCCCUCGAAAUGUGGCCUAAGCGACAGUGCCAUAAUUUCGAUGAGGAAUCAAUUCUCUUUCUUUUCUUGCUAGCAUCUGCGGGUAUUGCAUUCUCAGCAUUAUUACAUUCAGCAUUCACAUUCUCAGACAUAGAUAAUAAAUAAAGUUUGUCUUGUCGGAAGGCAAGACCCACACAUUUAUUAUUUAACUGUAGCUUACAAUCAUUCUUGCUGAAAUGGCAAUCAAAACCAUAGUCUGACAAACAUGAAACUAAAAUUAAAUUUCUAGCUAAAGAGGGGACAUAAAGAACAUCAUGCAACUCAAGUGUGAAGCCACUAGCUAAAUCUAGAGAUAAAUUUCCUAUAGCUUGAACUUCAGCAGCAACACCAGUGGCCACCUUAAUCUGUCUUUCUCAUCUUUGAAGGGUUCUCCCUCCACUGAAUCCCUGCAAAGAGUUUGCAACAUGAACAGUUGCACCUGAGUCAAUCCACCAUGUGGAUCUAGCAUAACUUAGAUAUAAGGAUUCAUCAACAAAAGUUAUAAUGUCCUCACCUUUCACUAGGCAAUGUUUCAUGAACUUAGGGUAUUCAUGCUUCCAAUGCCCUGUCUCAUUACACCAUCUACAGCGAUCCGGGUCCUCCUGCCUGUGCUGGUUGUCUUGCUUUGGCUGUGCUUUUGGCUGUGAAGAGCUUCCUCCCUUGUUCUCGGAGGUGGAGGCAUCUAGAGCUUUCUUGUUGUAGAAUGGUUUCUUGUUCUUUCCUUUCACAAAGUUCACAGAACCACCAUUUGCAUUCUUGAGCCUUUCUUCCUCUUGCACACACAUAGCAAUCACCUUCUCUAAAUCCCACUCCUCUGGCUGUGUGUUGUAGUUAACAACAAAUGUCUCAUACUCUUUAGGAAGUGAGUUUAGAGCUAGGUGAAUGAUGAAACCAUCAGCGAGGGGCAUCUUUAGCUUCUCUAACUUGGCUGCCAUGGUGCUCAUGCUCAGAAUGUGCUCUCUCACACUCCCCCCUGUGAACCUCAUGUUAGUGAGUUUCUGGAUCAGGGUGGAAGCAUGAGCUUUGGUGGAACCAGUAAACUGAUUCUUCACUUUCUCAAGGUAUUCUUUUGCUGUCUCACAUUCUGGGAUGGCACCUCUUAGGCCCUCUGUGAUGGUUUUCUUGAUGACAAUCUUGCAUUUGCGGUUUGACUUUUCCCACUUGUACUUCUCAAGAUCAUACUUUGCUAUGAUGGGAGCAAAGUCUCGCUUCCGAUUAGCAAAAGCUUCAUCGCUCUCAUUCUGAGCCCUUUCGGGCUCCUCUGGCUCAGUGGGCUUUGGCUCCUGAAGAGCCAAAUCUAUCUCAGCAAGUGCUAGAGCUGCAUCAAGUUCCUCGCGCCACAGAACAUAGUUCUGCCCCGUCAGCUUUGGGAUUGCACUGAUGAAGUGCAUCGCAUUCUGCGCUUGGUCUGAAAUUAAAUAUGAGAAAAUAGUGAGAACAUCAACAUUAAAUCUAGGAAAAAUAAUUGCAUAUCUUAAUUUAACGUUGGUCAAAAUCAAGAUAUACAAAAAUUAACUCUCUACAUAAAUUCUAAUCACUGUUGGGCAGAAUAGAAUAAAUACAUAAAAUUAGAACUUGGAAUUUGUAAUAUUGCUAUUAUUAACGUUGGUCAAAAAAUAACAAUAUCACAAAAAUACUAGGCUUUAAAACUCGUGUCUCAAAUUAAAUAUCCCGUUGGUUCAAUUUAAUAUGAGAACGAAAAAAUAACUUGCGCAGCGGAAAACAUUAAUUUAUUUACUAUUUUUAGAAGCAUAACUAGCUAACUGUGCUUUCUAAUUAAUAUACACGUUGGUGCAAAUUAAAUAGAAUUUAAAACUGAGCAAAACAAAUAUUUAAAUGCUUCUGAAAAUUAAAUAGAAUAUAAAAAAGGAGUUACAUUGCUUAAACGGGCCGUGGCCAACCAUUCGGCCCACGACCUCUUGCGGUCCAGCUCGGACGCUGGCCCAGCAGCGCACGGGUGCUUCUGAGUUUUUUUUAUUCUUGGCUGGUGGCACGCGGCCCAGCUAUCGGUUUUCGGCCCAGCCCAACGGCAUGCGUGCACGCGGGCGCUUGGCGGGCCGCAACCUGGGCCGGUGGCGCGCAUUCGGCCCAGCGCCGAAACCCGCCUGGGCUCAUUCUAGCCCAGCAGCCGCUGGUCGUCCGAUUUGCGGCCGUCGCGAUCGGACGGUAGAGUGCGCAGGUCGGAGGCAUAAAAGCCGCCGGCGCCAGGCUCUCUCUCCCAAACCCUAGUUUCUUUCUCCUUUGCUUCCUUCCUGACUCAGCAGCCGACGGCGCCGGCGCAGGAGCCAGACAGCCGCGGCAAGGGCCUCGCCGGCGCCGGUGAAGACGCCGUCGUUUCGGCCGCUCCCUUUCUCCUUUCUGUGCUUUCUUUUGCUUUUUCUCUCUCCAGUCCACUUGCGCCCAGCUGUAGAGAAGGACGCAGUGCUUUGCCGGCCGGAAAGAGUGGCGCCGCCGCGGUUCCUAUCGCCGGAGCGCGCGCUUCCCGUGGUGGGUGAGCGCGCCGCCGUCGAUAAGAGUCGCGAUGGUGCCCUGCGCUUGGCCCCCAUGCGGGAUUCCUCCCUGGUUUUGACCACCCCGGCCGCUAUGGUCGUGAGGCCGGGAUGGGCUAGCGCCCAGGUAGGGUGUUCCUUUAUUCUUUGUUGUUUGAUCUAUGCUUUUAGGGUUAGGAAAUCCCUUUUCUCGAUCUUUCGCGUUUGGAUCUGGGCGCUAGGUUUAGGGUUUGGGAAAAAAAAUAAAUCCUCUCCUUCUACUUGCUGGGCUUGUUGGGUAAAUCCCGAAAACCCCGAUCUAUUACUAGAUCGGCUGAUACCAUUGAUAGAUCUACAGGAUCUACUAGCAAUAGAAAGAACAGGGAUUCGGGAUACAUAAGUAACAUAGACAGUAACGUAAAUAUGCACACUAGAUCUAUUACAUAGGGAAUAGAAAUAGGUAGAUCUAGAGUAUAGGGUUUUGACCGUCGUUGGUGGCGGGUGCAGAUCCAGUGGGGCCCAUGGCGAGGGCGUUGACGCGGUGACGGAUUAGAUCCCGUCGUCCUUCGGGCCUCCAUCGGCACUGACCGACGACGGCGGGGUAGGAGUAGAAGGGUGACGGCGCGGUGGUGCUUCCCGACGCCACUGCACACUGUCGAUCGGCGACCUAGGGUUGUGAGUAGGGUUUGGCGGCGCACGACGAACUUCGUGUUGUGUGCCAGUAGCCCCCUACUCCUAUAUUUAUAGCGCAGCGCGUCGGGGGCCCACCAACCAUAGAUCGAUUGGGCGCCCCCGAUCAGGGCGCGAUCCAGGGGGAAAGGCCCCAGCCGUUGGGCUGGGCCUGAGAUCAAUCUAACACCAAAAAGUUUUUGGAUUUUGAGAUUAUAGCAUUUUUAUUUUUAUUUGACAAAUAUUGUUCAAUCAUAAAGUAACUAAGUUUAAAAGAUUUGUCUAGCGACUUACAGACAAACUGUACAAUUAGUUUUUGUUUUCAUCUAUAUUUAAUGCUCCAUGCAUGUGCCACCAGAUUCAAUGUAACGGAGAAUCUUGAAAAGUUUUUGGUUUUUAGGGUGAACUAAACAAGGCCUAAAUAACUAGUAGAUACAUAGUAUUUUAUUUCACAUGGAGGAAAGAGAACGUGAAAACUGAGGCCUUGUUUAGUUUCAAUUUUUUUUGCAAAAUAGAUACUGUGGCACAUUCGUUUGUAUUUGACAAAUAUUAUCCGAUCAUGAACUAAUUAGGAUCAAAAGAUUUGUCUCGCAAAUUACAAUUAGGGUUUUAUAAAUGCAUUCCCCCCAUCAACCUUUAUACUCACUUUGGCUUCCCCUUUUAUAGGACACUAUUACUUGGGGAAACCAGUUUACACUCCUAUCCUACGACACAGCGGCUAUGGUACAUUAAUGGAAUACGCUUAGCCACAAACAUAAUUUUAGGGUUACUUUGGGGCAUUCCACCUUGGCAACCGCCUUAAUUCAUGGGCCUUUUCUAGUGCCCACAGAGGCCCAUCUAUCACCUCAAGUUCUAGGCACCGUAGGGGCCUUCUCGUCAGCCUUCACUAGAAAAGCCCCGCCUUCCGCCGCGAUCUGGGCUCAUGCUACUCUGGACCUUCACUGCUACACUACCACCUUCGCCUUGUGCUCCAUCCAAGGAGGGUUCCGUGAUGCCUUUGCCCCUCAGAGCGGGACCUUCGCCAAUGUCGAGGGUGCGGGCGAAGGCUCCUGUCUUUGUUCCUGCCAAUCAAUGAUCAUGUUUCGUGCAUUGUUAGUCUUUUUUCGCUGGUGUAUCCCCUAGCUGCCAUAGCUCAUAGUUCCAUGUCCCAACAAUGUCUAAGAGCAAUUUCACUAGGAACCCUUAAAUUAGGGUUCCCACUUUUGAUUCGAGGGUUAUUCAACUUUUAAGUUUUUUUUGCAUCUAUUGUAACAACUCUCAAAUCCAUUUCAGUAGUCACGGAGACACAAACACAUGAGAUUCACUCGCCAUUCUCUUCCUAUGACCAUAACUACCUUCGCUCCAAUCAACUAAGCUAUGACUGACACGGGGUGGAGCAGCAGUAACCUCAUUAGGGAGGGGUUUGUGCCAAGGGCAGAGGAGCCGAUGAUGAGAGAGUAGCCACGUUGGGGACUGACCUUGUAAGAAUAGGGAAGGACCUCACUAGGGGAUGGGACAAGCACUAGGGAGAGGAGUCACGCUAGGGGAUCGAGGAUGGGGUAAUAAGGGUCUCGUUGGGACGGGGAAGGACCUCACUAGGGGACAAGACAGGAGCUAGGGAGAGGAGCCACAACGGGGAAGGAUCUCACACAUAGGCGGACAAACCUCACUGUGAGAGCCACGCUACAAGGAGGGAGACCCCUUAGGAAGGGGCACGCCGCUAUAGGGAGGGGAGUCACACCACUAAGGUGAGGGGCCUCAUCAGGGAGAGCCGCACCAAGGGAAGGACCUCCUAGGGACGGUGGAGCAUGCAAGCAACAUCGGAUGUGGAUAGAUGGACACUAUCCUCUUGCAUGCUAGGAGGAAAACGAUAACAAGUGUCAGUUGAGGGCCUAGAGUAGGGUCCCAAGAAAAUGAGGACUAGGAGGAAAAUUUGAGGGGCCUAUGAGUUUUUUUUUCUAGUCAUCAAAUUUGGUUUUGAGGGGUCAAGUAGGUGUCCUGCUAGAGAAGGCACCUCUAAUAAUAGUGAGAGUUAGAUAUCGACUCUUAGAUCCAUCUCAUUCAUAUGUUUUAUUUAUAUAUUCUCUCGUGUCAAGAGAGAGAGAUAAUUCAAGUCUCUCAUACAUUUUAGUACGUGCAAAGAGCUCGGCUUUUCUCAACUUCUCUCCACGCUAGUUCCACGCUAGUUCAAAGGUUUUUGGCCUCUCUCCCCUUUGUGUGGUAUCUGAUACUAGCUUAGAGCAAGUCCAAGAGAAGAGCUAUCCAUAUCAUGUAUUCUAUAUUUGGCUAUUUUGGGAGAGAAAAGAGAGUCCAACAGCUAUUGUAUUUGGUUUGCUAAAAUAGCAAGUCAUCUAUCCCGGAGUUCUCGUAUGGUAAAUAUAGCUUGCAUGUCCUGCUAGCCAUAUGAUUUGCCGUAUAGAAAGACCGUUGGAGAUUUUUAUUUUUUUACAUGAUUUUCUAUUUUAGAGGUUGGCUAAAUUUUGAAUUUAGCCAUCUAUUUUUAUCAACUCUCUUAGAGUUGCUCUUAGAGUUGUCCAAUAGAGAUGCCCUUAGCUAGCUCCCAAUUUAGAAUAUACCUAGACUAGAUCGAUAUCAGGCUUGAGAACGCAUAAUAGUUAGAUAUUUAUACCUAGUAGAUCGUUGGGUUUUAAACAAUACCAUACCUUUUUUUUGAGGGGAAAACGAUACCAUACGUGAAAUGGCUCACAUGAAUAUUAGGCCCGAAAACGGUUAUUGGCUAAACAGAAUUGGGCCUUAAAUGGGCGAUUAAAACAGCAAUGAUGCCUCCGUAGACUAGGAAUCGCAUAGACAAAAAGCUGUGACAUGCAUAUGCCUCGGGUGGGCUAUAAACAGGCCUGCGAUGCAGGCCUAUACACAGCCCAAUUUUUUUUGUGAACAAUACACAGCCCAAUUUGUGUACGUACAAGUGCCGGUUGCUUUUUCAGUUUCUUGCCCCAUGGGAAGCAUUCCCCAAUCGAAUCAUCACGUACGUACUUGACUCUGAUCCAUCAUAACACUUGGUGUCCACUAUGCACGCUCGUAGGCAUUGUUUACUUCCACCCAAAAUCUAAAAUUUUUUCAAGAUUUCGCGUCACAUCGAAUCUUUAGACGUAUGCAUGGAGUAUUAAAUAUAAACGAAAUUAAAAACUAAUUGCACAGUUUGAUCGAAAUUUACGAGACGAAUCAUUUGAGCCUAGUUAGUCCAUAAUUAAACAAUAAUUAUCAUAAACAAACAAAAGUGCUACAGUGUACCGAAAAAAUUUCGGCAAGGAACUAAACAAGGCCGUAGUAUGCUGUUAUAUGAUGGAAUCUAAAGAGCCCCAUUUUCUCUUUUAUCUUACCCUCCAGAUCGAGGCCACAAAAUCCUAGGUACAGAACAUCGUCUGUCAGAUGCAUCUGGUUGCAGCAAAGAUCCACACACAUUACAUAGAAUACGUGCACAGCACCAAAUGCAUGCAACGGCAACAUAUGCAUGCAGCACAAUUAGUUGUACAGUUUCCAUGAUUUACAAGCAAGUCCGGAUUCUUUUACUUCAGUAAACCAUCCUCAUAUUGCAAUGAUGGCAUGAUGCAUAUAUAGAGCGGGAGUGGUUAAGGUCGAUGAAUAAUGAAUCACUGAUGAAGCAGGGCAGACAAGGACACGGCAGCGGCGGCAGAGGCACACUGAGCCCACACAGAUGAAAUGAGCAAAUAUAUAGUACGUCGCGUGUAUAUGUUACUAUAUCUUAUUACUUGAACACAUCACUCUCAUGACUCAUGGAUGGAAAACAUCAUGCAUACAGUACAAUAUAUAAUGGACACAAAAGCUAGUAGUAUUCAUUAUUCAGGAAACCUGUGUGCUAAAGCAACAAGGUUAAAGGCAAGCAAACCCCCAAGGACGACGUUGAGUGCUGCUUUGCUAGCCUGCUACACACACACACACGUACGAUCGAGGUACACGACGACAGCCACAGCGACGACAGAGUUGGUGUAAACUCAAGGUAGUAAACAGUAAAUACUAAUUAAACGGAGUGAUCACUAACAGGUACGGUGCAUGCAUGAUCUACUCCUUAAUUUAUGUAUCUAUCUCAUUGCAUGCAUCAUCCAUGGAGGGAGUCAUGGACGACAUCUGGUAAAACAACGACGACUGCAUGCUGAUCGCCAUCCAACGAGCAUGCCUCAUGCAUGUCCUUAUGAUCGAUCAUCAGUUGAUCCUGCACGUACAUAACAUGAAAGAUAUCAAAUCAUGGUUAUCACACUCGAUCAUUAGCAGAAAAUCACUCAUAAUCACUGUGCAUUCAUGCAUGCAUGGACGACAUAUUUAAUCAAUUGGACAGGGUGAAAAACUCAGCCUAGGAGGCGUCGUACUUGGAGCAGUCGACGUUGGGACUAAUGGGCACGCCGACGGAGACGCCGCACUUGGAGGGGAUGCUGGCGGCGUUACCCAUGCUGACGCCGCCGCCGCCGCCGAGCCUGCUCGUCAUGCUCUUGAGGCAGGCGCAGGUGGCCUGGCGGUCGGCCGUCGACGACGCGCGGCUGUUGAGCGAGCGCACCCCGGUGCAGCACGCCGGGGAGGGGAACGCCGUGGUGCCCAUCGCGUACCCGAGGCACGGCGCCACCGAGGAUGUCACGUCGCUGCAGCUCACCGCCGCCGAUGCCGGCUCCGAGGACGCCAGCAGCAGCGCCGCCAGGACCGCCACCGUCGUCGCGACCACCAGGGCGAGGCGUGGAGCAGCCAUUGCAGGACAGAAGAGCAGUGGGGGGUGGUGAGCUGUUGAUGGUGUAGUGGUGUUAAGUGAAGCUGUGAUGGAUGGAGCAAUGGUGGUGCCAGGGGUAGGGUAUAAAUAGGGAGCUUUUUACCUAUAUGUCAUUAUGAAAGAUUGACCAAACCAGGAAGCCACUAAAAAGUGGUUUCGCACCGCUGUGCCCAACUUCAUCUUCGGCUAUACCUGUAUGCCAUUCCGUCCAUUUUGAAGUCUAACGGCAGUUAAGUGGUCUGACAUUUGACUUGAAUGCCCCUGGGCCAAUUGGUCUAGACAACAAAAUCUUCUUGUCCCCAGUGCCACUGACUACCAAUUCACUGACUACCAAUUUCUACGGUGAGCGCCAAAAGGGCUGGACAGAACUGCAAAAGUGGCAUCUUUCAGAAGUUCUAAAUUCCCAUAUUACUUGAAAAAUUCUUUCAUGGUUUUUAGCAUCAUCCAACAGUAAAUCCCGUAGAUGAACAGAUUGAAGAACCCGAUUAAAGCCAUGCCACAAGCGAAAGAAAUGGAACAUGUUUCACAACAAUCUAUGAACUAUGAAAAUAAGGAACAUAAAAAAAAACCGCCAAUGUUUAUCUCAGCUACCUCUCAUUCAUUAGGUAACAUAAACAAAUACAUAGGCUUCCGUUCCAUUAAUGGUCCUUUGUUCCAAGAACACCACGCCAUACAUACUACGGGCGAACGCGACGAGGACCUGGAACUGGACGAGCUUCUGUCCGAGCACCGGAUGGACGAGGCGCUCCAGCUCCUGGAGCUGCGAGGCCAAGCGCUGCAGACGAUGCAGGAGCAGGCCGACGACGACGACGACGGAGCGAUCGCGUUCGCGUCGAGCGUGCGCGCGCUGUCCGCCACGAAGGCGAGGGUCGCCGCCCGCUUGGCCUCCCUGGCGGAGAACCCGCGGACGCCGCGGCCCGAGCUCCUAAAGGCGCUCUCGGGCCUCUGCAGGCUCGGCGACUCGGAGCAGGCGAACCACCUGCUCUUCCAGGUGCACCGCGCGAGCGUCGUCCGCGCGUGGAGGAGCUGCGCGCGUCGCGAGGCCACCACCAGAGCAUCGCCGGCGCCGGCGGCAACUACAUCAAGGACCUGGCGCCAGCGGACGCCGAUGCUGGCGGAGCCACCGAGAGCGCCGGGCCGGCCCUGGCGACCCCGCUUCCUCCUCGUCCCCUCUCCGCCUCAUGCUGCUGCUGCGGAGGCGGCGCGAGGGAGCCGGUGAGGAGCUGCGUGAAGGUCGUCGCGGCCCCGGAGGAGGAGUUGGCGCCUCCGCCUCCGCCGUCGUCGCUGUCAGAGGAGGGGAAGAGCGCUGAGGCGAGCGUGAGCGGGCCCGGGCUGGCGUCACCGGCGCCCGUAAAGAGCGACUCCGCCGCCGAGCGCGGUGGCAGCGCCAGGCGCCGGCGUUGACUUUGGUUUUGGAAGAGGCCGAGCGCGGCCUCGAACGCGGGCUGGAGGACCGCGUGAGGGGCGAUGGACUGGAAGGGCAAGAAGGACAUUUUCCUACCAAGGACCCACGUGCCAGACCACUUAAACGUCACAAAACAAACGGAAUGGGGACGGAAUGGCAUACGGGUAUAGUUGAAGAUGAAGUUGGGCACAGCGGUGCGAAACAAUUUUUUAGUGGCUUCCUGGUUUGGUCAAUAUUUUAUAAUGGCAUACAGGUAAAAAGCUCAUAAAUAGGACCUUGGUAACUCAUCACUUAUUCACUUUUUUUUUUGGAAUUCAUCACGUAAUUAUUUUUUUUUGAGACUGGAACUUCACCCGUUUUUCAUUAAUUAAGAGGGAAUUCAAUCACGUAUUCACUUGGAGAGUGUACGUGUGUGUGUGUGUUAGCUGGAAAUCUGAUGAUGUGGGGCGCGCGGCCCGGCUGGGGAGCUGAUGAGUGAGGCUUUUUGAUAUUGUAUCAUUUUCAUUUUUAUUUAACACAUAGUGUUCAAUCAUAAAGUAAUUAGAUCUAAAAGAUUCGUUUCACGAUUUAUAGAUGAUAAUCUGUACAAUUAGUUUUUGUUUUUAUCUAUAAUUAAUGCUUCGUGUAUGUGCCGUAAGAUUCGAUAUGAUAAAAAAAUUUGAAAAGUUUUUAGAUUUUUGGGUGAAUAAACAAGGCCCGAGUGAGUGCAGGUGAAGUGUUACUGCAGUGGUGGUUGAGCACGCACCAACCAGGGGGAUCGUACGUUUGAUGAGAUGUGAGAUGAGAUGCGAUGCGACGAGGAGAUGAAUGCAUGCACGUGAACCUGCUUCUCGUUUGUAUUCGGACUUUUGGUACGUACAAACAAAGCCUGUGCAAACGUUCAUCAUUGUGCUGCUUGUGCAUAUUGAUAUACACGACAUAUGCACGCUGCAUAUACCCUGUGUACUGUGGUGCCCGUGACUGCCGCCGGGCACAUAACAUAGGAGUAGUAUGAAGUCUUCAAAGUCACGACUGAAAGUCUUUUUUUUGCUAAUAUGUUGUAAAAAAACAUUUCUAAAUAAUUAUUAGUAGAUUCGGUAGAUGAUCUUAAUUAAUAAGUGAACAAGCUAAUGGUUUUAAUUUGUGCUGUGGACACAGCUACAUAGUACGAUGGGAUGGACAGUGUUUCCCACCAGCCUUACCGAGUUUACCGUGCAACGAAUACGCGCCCGUGACACACACACGCUGCAUAUGCAUGAGCCUUGGGCUAUAUAUACCAGUACGCGUACGUACGUACGUAAACGUACGGUCGUAUAUUGUACUCGCGCGCCUACAUAUAUCAUUCUCGGAAUCGUAACAUCCUCCCUCGCUCGGUCUGUCACGAUCAUGAACGUAAGACGUGUUCAUCAACUUUGGAACUGGUGCACAUAGUACUGCUAGGCUAGCUGAACGUACGUCCCAGCAAACACGUACGGAUAGAUAGAUGAUCCAGGACUAUUAGCAAUUAACUGCCUUCAAUUCUUAUGUCGCCGGCCGAUCGUACUGCAGCGCAUGCAUGCAAAUGCAAUAGUAGUAGAUAGAUAGAAUUGCAGUUGUUGAUAGAGCUAAGCAAAAGCACGCAAUUAAGUUCACCUUUAGCUUUUCUUUGCAUUGAACGUGUAACAUGCAUGUUCACAUCUUGAUGAUGGUAGCCUGAAAAUUCUGGUGAGGUAGUUGCCACCUAGCCAAGCAUUGCAUGAACCAACUACUACUGUACGUCCUCUCCGUUCUACAAAGAGAAAGGAGUACAUUUUUAACAUUCUAAACUUGUCUAUAAACCUGUUCUCUCUCUCUCUCUCUCUCUCUCUCUCUUCCACACCACCCAAUCCCUUGACCUCCCUCCCUCCCACAACCACUUUUAGCGUCUUGCAUUUGAUGGCAUAGGUUACGAGGACUCAUAGCAUUUUCAACAUUUUGUUCUAAACUUAGGAUACAUUCUAACAGGAAAUCAGCUCUAAGUAUUUCUCUUCUUCAACAGUUACCAUAUAUAUCAUCUUAAAUAAUAUAUAGGAUGGACAAUAUAUAGUCCACCAUCAAUAUAUCCAUCCACCCACAUAACCCCUCUCUCUCUCUCUCUCCCCCACACCACCCAAUCCCUUGACCAACCUUCAUCCCCACAACCGCAUUAGCAUAUUGCAUUGAUUGCCUCGGUUACAUUCUAAAUCCUUAUAUAGGAUACAUUCUAAUAAAAAAACGUCUCUUCAUAUUUAUUUUUUCUUCAAUGGCUACUGCGUGUCAAAUACUCCAUACAACAUCUUGAAUUUGUAAAGAAGAGAGGAUAAUUUAGGAUACCACUAAAUAUCUGAUAUUGAAUAAGAGGGCCACUGAAGGAUGAUUUUUGUAACAUAAAUCUUUAUUUAAGCUCUAGGGAGACAAAUAACAGGAACUCUUCUAGAUAUCCUUAGUUACCGAGAGCAGUGAGGUUAUUUCUCUUUAUAAUUAUUAUAUUUAUUGAAAUAAGCUACAAAUCGUGUCUUUGCGUGGGACAGGGAUAACAUUAAAGAUAUUAAAAAGUUUUGUCAUUCCAUCAUAUAUAUAUAUAUAUAUAUAUAUAUAUAUAUAUAUAUAUAUAUAUAUAUAUAUAUAUAUAUAUAUAUCCCCACUUUCUUGGUGUGGUGGUACACAAGGGAGGAUACCAUGUUACCUACUAGUACUAGGUUUAAUUAAUUUAAAUUCUGGCACGUGCUAACGGCGUUUAAGAGCAUCCCCAAAGAGUCUUUUUAGAAUUUACUCCAUAGAUUAUCAUUUAGAAAGUCAUUUAAGUGGAACAUCGUUUUCUAUAUAUUUGCAUCCUUCAACAGUUUUUACUAUAUCUUGCGCGCAUUUAGAGACUCAUUCUUGCUUUAAUUUUCAUCUUUGGCUAGUGAGAAAUCUAGAGUAGAGGAUGUCUAUAUUGAAGAUCUAGUUAAUUGAAGAGGUUUGGAGAGUUUUUUUUACCAAAAUCUCUAUUCCUACAAAGUAUAAAAGAUAUAAAAAUUCUUUUGGAGUUGUUCUAACCAGUUUUGUAUGUGUGGGUCAUCUUGAAAUUAAAAAAAAUACAGGCUUCGAAACUAGGGUGUCAUUUGAGAGGCAGCAUACAAAACAAUUAUAAUAAAAAAUCAUUUAUUUUCAGCCAUUAUUUCUUUUUACAUUUUUGAGAAAUAUUAAUUCUUGUACUGUACAUUUUAUGGGAAUUAAUUAUUUUUACAUUUUGUUUUGAGCAACAUUAAUUAUUUUUACAUUGAAUUUGGUAUAAACAGUGUCGAGUUGAGCGAUGAAGGCCUCAGUUGGGCUGUUGUUGUCCAUGGAGUUAUUGGAGUAGUGGGCCUAGCUGGUCCUACUUUUUUUUUCCUGUGUGUGUUGCUGCUUACCCGUUACCACGUUUACUAUUGGGCCUCCAUUAAACUAAUUCCGGAAUGAUCCAUCAGCUUCGCGCCGUGCACACGUGUGUAUACAUGUACACGGCAGCGCUAUUUUAUAUCCUACUGUUAAGUUGACCAGAAAAAAAAUACUUCCCUCCGUUUGUGUUUACUUGUCACCAACUUUUUACUGUAGCAAAUUUGACUAUCUAUUUUUUUUCUUCUAAAAAAUCUUAGAUACUUCAAUAUAUAUAACACUAAUGAAGUAUAUUCAAUAAAGAAUCAUAUAUGUGAAAACUUGAUGUAUCUAAAAAUCUUUUGCAGAAAAAAACAUAUAGUCAAAAUUGCUACAGUAAAAGUUUGGUGACAAGUAAACGCAAACGGAGGUAGUACUAAGCAGUACUCAGUUUCACGAGUACGAACGAUAUUGAAUUUUGUUUAGGCCGUGUUUAGUUCCUACAGCGAAAAAAAUCACGACACUGUAGCAUUUUUGUUUGUUUGUGGUAAUUAUUGUCCAACUAUGGACUAACUAGGCUCAAAAGAUUCGACUCAUAAAUUUCAACAAAACUGUACAGUUAGUUUUUAUUUUCCUCUAUAUUUAAUACUCCAUGCAUACGUCUAAAGAUGCAUGCGUCUAAAGAUUCGAUGUGAUGGGGAAUCUUGAAAAAUUUUGGAUUUUGAGGUGGAAGUAAACAAGGCCUUAGUAUAACAGUUCGGUGUAGAAUAGCACUAUACACUCUAAGAGUAAAAUACUAUUCUACACCAAACUAUGUGUGAAUUAUGGUAAAAGAUCUGUACUUCUACACCAAACUAGAGUGGCCGGCCGGGGUGCUUCUGAUCGAUGAUGAGUGAGCUAAGUAGGGUUUAUAUAGGGAGAAGUGGAAGGCCUUUAAUUUUUCCAUAUCUUUUCCUUAACUUCGGAUCGAAAGAAAAGAACGCAUCCUUAAUAUCAUGCAUGUCAUCAUCAUUUCUUUAGCAACAAAACCCUUAAUCUCAUGCGUAACGUCGGCAUAUGAUUAGAGAGCGUUUUAUUUGUAACUUGUGAUCUCCCUUUUUACCGGCCUCUGCCUUGGACUGAGGAUGGAAAUCUGCCAUGGCGGCCAAGGUCGAUUCAUCUGAUCAGCACGCAGUAGAUAUGUGAGUUGGGAGAGAGUAGUACUGUAGUGGUGGUGGGUUUCGUGUGGGAUUCUGCUUAUGCUGAGUGAGGUUAUUAAGGCAGUGAUUGCUGAUUAGUGAGGCGCGCCAUAAGUUAACAACGAAAACCUACUUAGGACCUUGGAUCCACAGAGCUAAUAUUUAGUUGCUAAAGAUAAAAAUAUUCAGAUGCUAAUAAUUAGCUUGUUUGGAUCCAAACGGGCCGGUCUAGCUAAUUAUAUUAGACAACUACCUCACUACUUGAUCAAAACUAGCUAAUAAUUAACUAUAGCUAAUAUUAGCUAUGAGCUAUUAGCUAGCUAACUAUUAGCAGCUAAUGAAUCCAAAUAGGGAUUUAAUUUAUCACUAAGCCCCAAUUUUCUGUGAAACCUUUGGAUGAUUCAAGUAGUGUGAGAUUAGAGGGAGCGUUUCAGAACUAAAGUUGGUGGCCAUGGCUUAGGAUCUGAGUGGUUUUUUUUCCUUGCCUUUUUUCUAAAAUAAAAGAAAAACAGGCAGGAGUUCUGCCCUGGAUUAAGGAUGGAUCCAGUUUCAGUUUCAGUCAGGUUACGCGAGACUGUGAGAGUUAGUCCAUGGUGCAUGGUAACAGCUUGAUGCUAAACUCAUCCACGUUUCAUUUCAUCUCUGCUGAUCAUCAUCAUUCAUCCACUAACUAGCUAGCUACCACGAUAAAUAAACUGAAGAAGAAUAUUGCACCAACAUUUUAUUGCGGGUUUUCAUCAUGGCCUGGAUGAUCUGCAAAUUUCAGGGCCAUGCUUCUCCAUUGCUUCAGAUUCGACGGUGCUACAAGCCGGAGUGCAACCUCCGAUCCGUCAGUCAGUGUAGGACAUGCACGUCCAUACAUGUCCUGUCCAUCAGCAAGAGAAUGCCACAGGCCGCGGUAGCAAAAGCCAGUGGCUGGACGCUGCUUGUUUUGGUUGAGUUGGUGCCUGACAUUUCAGACCUCCCUAGCUAGCUUAAAUACAUGGAAGGGUACCACGUACACCACACAUGCAUAUAGUAUAGUAUAUGCACGAACUAGUAGCACGUAUCUUCAUAGCUUUCGGAGUAUGUUCUCAGGACAAACCUUUCUGUACAUGGCUCCAACAAGCAGAUGUUUCUUUCGCUCGUCCUCUCUUUGCGUGCAGAUGUGCAGUAACAAUACGCAUCUAUCUAUUACUUUCAUACAAAAAUGCAGCCUACUUCACUGAAUUAUUGAGCACUUUUCUUUUCUUUUUUUUUUACAACGAUGAACUGUGAUUUUCGAUCAGUAUGGGAACCGUCGACGGCCAAUGACUUCUGUUGCUUGACUUGUUUGUUGCACUUUCAAGUUCCAAGCGAGGCUACUCUUGAUCUGAUAGCAAGCAGAACAGAGGGAUAAAAAUGUAUAUGACAUUGUGGUGUCUGGUGGGAGCAGAAUUUGCCCUGUUUUGAGCACUUUCAUUUCAGAGAUAGACACAGAGUUUGCUCUACAGACUACAGAGAAUAAUCCAACGAUAACUAAGUACACAUUGAGUGCAAGAGAUUGCAUCACUAGAGCUAAUGUAUAGGGUAGCCUUUGGGCAAUCUGUUGCAGCCGAAUUUGUUGAGGAUAAUCCAAAAAGAAACACUUACCACAUUGUCUUGUAAAACAGUGCUGCCAGAUCAAUAAAGUUUCAGGACUUCAGACAAUCCUUUGGGAAUAGAAACGAUCUGUCAUCAAUCACUACCUUUUGAAUCACAGAUAGGAGUAUGAAACAAGUAUGCACUCCAUAGUGGCCUACAACAUAAAAGAAAGUUUGCUUUAGAACAUUUUCUCAAACUCGAGUUUGCUUUUGAACAUAAAAAGUAUUAUUCUGAUCUGCAACAAAGUUGAGUAAGGAAUGGAGAAUUACCAACAACACGGCCAAUGGAGCUACGAUCCCUCAGCGAUAAGACCCAGCACACAAGAGGGGCUCCUGCAGUUCAGACCGUUCAUUGCUCCAUGCAGUUUGUGACAACUGUAUUUGGUUCUCUAUUUUACAUGAACUUGACUGUGCGCAGCAUGCUUUGAACCGCUGCAUCCAAUCACCUUUGUUCUCAGAUGUUCAACAUCAUCCCACCGUUCUGCUUCUGCAUACGCAUUUGAUACUGUGAUAACAUCCCCAUCAUCCAUUGGCAUCAACUCAUGCAUUCUAUGAACAGCUCUGUCAGCAAUGUCAAAAUGCCCAUGCACUCUGCAUGCAGCCAUAACCAUCUUCCACAGCACAGAGUUUGCCUUGACGGGCAUAUCAUUGAUCAUUUGAUAAGCCUCGUGAACUUUACCAUAGCGGCAGAGCAUGUUGAUUAUACAGCCAUAGUGCUUCAUGCUUGGCACAAUUUUGUAGUCUUCGAUCAUGCUCUUGAAAUACACUCUCCCCUCAUUCAAUAGGCCGCUGUGGCUGCAAGCAGUCAAAACACCCAAAAACGUGACAUGAUCAGGCUCAAUAUUCAUAAGAUCAAACAGCUUAAGGGCAUCAUGCGAGUGGCCAUGGACUGACAACCCAACAAUCAUCGUGUUCCAGCAUGUAACAUCCUUGAUUGACAUGCUGUCGAAGACUUGUCUGGCGAGCUUCAAGUUACCACAUUUUGCAUACAUAUCAACCAGAGCGUUGCCAACAUACCCAUCAGCUUCAAUUCCUUUGCUCUUAAGGUAAUCAUGGAUUCCCCUCCCCAGCUCUAGCUCACCCACCUCCGCACAAGCCCCAAGAGCCGACACGACUGUUAGCUCCGUGGGUUCGAUGUCAUUCUUCCACAUAUCUCGGAAAACGUCUAGUGCUCGGCUAUACAUCCCGAGCUUUGCAUAUCCACUAAUCAAUGAGUUCCAAGAUAUGACAUCCCUCUCAGGCAUGUCUCUGAAAAUUCUCGCUGCCUCGACCAAAUCCCCGAGCCUCACAUUUCGCAUGAUCUCAGAGUUCCACCAUGAUAUGUUCCUUUCUGGAGUUGCCUGAGAGACACGCUCUGCACCCUGCAAGUCUCCAGAGACACCAUGAGCCACGACAAGUGCAUUCCAGGAGACGGCAUUCUUCACAGGCAUUUCAUCGAACGCCUUCCUCGCCUCCCCCAGACGACCGAACUGGCCGUACAUGGACACGAGCGCGUUCUGCACGUACCGAUCCUGCCCGCAUCCCAGCUUCAAGACGCGGCAAUGCAGCUCGGCGCCCUUGGCAGCAAACACGGCGGCGCGAGCGCGACGGCUGAGCCUGAACGCGCGGGCACAGGAUUUGAGGAGGGCCGGGAAGGCGGGGAGCGGGGUGGGGAUGGAGAGGGAGGAGACGUGGUUGAAGAGUGUCAGCGAGGCGGACGGAGCCGGCGACGAGGAGAAGGCGGAGAUCACGGGGCAGAAGAGGGACGGGGAGAGCACGCACGGAGGCGCGGCGAGGAGGAGGGAGAGGGAUGACGGGGAGGCGGGCGGGAGGUGAGAGAGGAGACCGGCGAGGCAGGCAGGGUGGUGGAGGAGGUCGAGCUUGGCGAGCAGUGCGUGGAGUUGGUGGCCAGUGGCGGCGGCGGAGCUCCGGCGGGGGAGGCGCCGGAGGAGGCGGAGGACGGCGGCCGGAGUGUACGGGUCGGGUGGCGCCGGUGAUCGCAUGGGCUGGCUGUUCGCAUUGCUGGUGGGCUGAUGGGCCGCAGGGUCCACUACAGCUCUGCUUGUCCCGACAAGUGGGCCCAGAAGAUUUUGCUAGGAGUACAUUAGGUGCUGUGUGCUUCCAUGCCAUUUUACAUGCUGCCAUGCUCCCAUUUCAAAAAAGACCAUCAAAAUGUGCAUGUUUUUUUUUAAAAAAAAGUACGGAUACAUGAUGAAAAAAAUGCAUGCUCAUGCAAAAUUUGAGAUCUACCGGAAUGAGGUCUAGUUGAAGAACUUAAGUUUAUGUGUAGUUCUAAUUUCGUUGAAUUUUCUUGUAAUUUCGUAGGUAGGGCCAGAAACUGAGCUGCCCAUGUGUGUUGGCUGCUUUGGUUAUGAGUGUAUUGAGGGAAAGCGCUUAAAAGCUCUAUCCCAGAUGAUGUUAAGCCGCCAAAUUAAAAAAAAUAGAUAUAACAGAGUUUUAUUUGAGGAGGAAAAAACAGAAAACUAGCCUGAAAUAGAAACAUAUCGCGGGACUGAAUGAACAUUUCGCUCUAACCCAAUUGCAGGUUCAUUAUCUUAUUUUCUCCUAGCACAAAACUUUGUUGAACCUAAAACUUUGCAUGAACAUGUACCUUUGCAUCAUGUACCCAAUACAUUUUUGGUUGAUUUUUCAUGCUCAUUUUGAUGAUUUUUUUAAAAAUAGGAGCAUGGGUGCAUAGGAUACAAACUCCUGUCAGCAUACAACGGUGAGCGGGGGCAGUAAGCUCUUGCUACUAGCAAGAUAAAAUGUGAAGGGUAAAGAAAAAGUAGGUAAUAGCAGCAUACAACAAUCCAAUACCAGCAUAAGCACAUGCAGCAACAACAAGGCAUGCAACACCACCACCACCACCACCAGUAUCCGGACCAGACAGUGUUGGUGGCAGCCAUCCUCUAGGCCCACCACGGUGAGCGGGGGGACCACCAUGGCCACACUCAAUAACAUUGAUAGUAUGUCGUCGGCUCAUUCCAAGCCUACCAUGACAAUGGUGGUUGGCGAGGCGAGGGCAGCCCAAAGGCGACAUUGGUGUGGUGAGGCCCAGUGGCGGAGCCUCUUGGAGGUGAAACUAGACAGUUGCCCCCCUGUCUCCGAUGGAAAAUGAUGAGUAGUAUGUGCAGUUCACAGGAAAAGGAGAAAAGGAAUACCUACAGUCUACAAUAAGAGAAGAAAAGACAGAGAGCAAGGAAAGUGAUGCCUGAGAACAUAUGGCUCAUGGGAAUGUGUGCUUUGUGUGUUUAGAUUCUUGCUUAUUUUUAGCUGAAGUUUAAUAGCUACAGUAGUCUAUUUUGAAAUUAGCCCCUCCUUGAUUUUCAUUCACCCUCCGCCGCUGGUGAGGCCAUCACCGGUGGAGGUCAUGUAGGUCAGAGGUGAGAUCUAUGGGGGUGAAGGCGAAACACGGAGAGAGAUGGGUGAUUUAGUGGAAAAAGAGAAGGAAUAUUUUCUAGCAUUUUUUUCAUGUGGACCCCACUUGUUGACAAGUGCACUAUAAAGAAUCUACAACAACUUACUAGCGGCUGGCACAUGGCUCAGUAGCUCACAACUCUAUAAUCCACACAUAGGUAAGAUACAUUGUCUACCCUUAUAUACCUAUAUUAAUUGAAGAGAAGCUCAACUUUUAAAUUAAAAAAAAUCAAAUGCACUAUGUAAGUGUGCACGUGUGUGCAAUCGUGUUAUUGAGCACAAAGAUAUGAGUACUAGAAAACUCCAUUGGUGGAUGGCAAUGCGACUUCUGUAACCAACUUAAAAGCACAUCAGUACCGAGUUCAAAUGUGAUCGAUGAUGACAAUUAGAGGUGUUGAGGGUUCUAGGAUUUAUGAGGUAUGGACAGAGGAAGAGCAAGAGCAAAAUAUAGGGGUUUCAUUUAUUUGCCAUAUGGAUAUAUAUAAUUAUAUUUAUAUUGUAGAGGUAUAUAUACAGUGAAAAUUCGAUCAUAAUUAUUAUUUUUAAGUUUUGAUUUGCCCCCCUUCCCCCAUCCUCCCUCUUCUCCAUGCUAAAGAUAGCAUCAUCCUCUAGUCACCAAGUAGCUUAGGCAAAGAGAGGGGGUGGGGUUGUAACAAGGGGUGUCAUUGAGAAGAUCAUUAGCGAGGAUGUGGUAGCAGAAAUAUGAACAACAAGCGGCGUGGAUGUUUGAGGAGUCUAAGAAAACCUAGUUGUUGGUACAGAAUAGAGAUAUGGUGAUGUGGCAGGGUAACUGAGAAAACGCAGGAAUAUCCAAGGUGAGAGAGGGUGGAAGGGGGCAUUCAAUAAGUGAUGUGUUUCCCAGAUUUGCUCUUAUAAAUUUGUACGAAUUUCUCUCCUAUUGUGAGCUAUGUUGUAGUUAUUUUUCACCCACUGUACAUCUUUAUUAUUUGGUGUUCAGAACAAAUAAAAUUACUAAUGGCAACAUUUUUAGCAAAGAUAAUAAUGCCAAGACAUAGUUUCUGCUUGCUAUGUUGAUGCAAUAAUUUAUAGGAGUCUUAAUUCUUUAACAUAAUUGACCAGUCUUAAAAUGACAUAUCCUAUGGUUUUAAGUACCAGCCUUCCAAAACAAGUGGGAAACUAAAAAGAUAGGUAAAUAAAUCUUUUAUAUAUACAAUUGGAAAACUAAGAAGCUAACAAAUAUAUCAUAUAUACAUUGGCACAACUGAUAUAUCAUUUAUAAACACCUAUAUACAUGGAAAACUUAUUACAACCACAAGUGUGCUCUUGUUUUUUCAAACCUCGAAGAAGCUUCAAUAUAUUAUGGUAGAUAUCCUUAGUUUUGAUACAUGUUCUGGCAUUUAAAUAUGGUAUCCUUAUUUUUAAUACAUGUUAUGACAUUUAAACAUGGUGCAAGUCUUUGUCAUCUACCUAUAUUGUAAGAUUACCUAAUCAUAAUAUAUUAAUAUAUUAUUAUACACAACAAACUUGUAAAAGAAUAAAAGGUAGCAAAAGGAAAUUUAUAUGUCUAACAAUUUUAUCCAUAUUAACAAUAGCUAACCUCAUGUAGUCAUGUGUCUACAACUCUAGCUUCUAUGAUGGAAUGACAAACCCCCCCCCCCCAAAAAAAGAUUCUUGGGGCUAGAUGCAGCAAACAUGCCCUAUGCACCCUCAUCUUCUUGUCAUACUAUCAUCCAAGGUUGAACUAGACUUGAUUAUGGGCCACACAACAUGACCAAUCUGUUUUGACCCGCCCAAAAGAAACCUAACCCGGUAGUGCAUCAGGUCAAGUUGGGGUCAUAAUAUUUGACUCAAGAUUGGAUCCAACCUAAAAACCUAAAGCAAAGUAGAAAAACCUGAGAAAUAGCUUGACAUGACCCUACCUGUCGUGCAUCAGGUCUAGCUUGGGCCAAAAAUUUUGAAAACCAACAUUUUUUCAACCUGACCCGACUUUGAAGGGAAAUUGGGCAAGACACAAAGUAUAGCUUGUGUAUCAAUGAUUUUAUUAUCUUUUCAUUUAACCAAUAUGCUUUUCUUUAAUGGCUACACAAGACAUUGAUUUUACCAACCGUGUUCAUCAAAUAACACAUAUCAUAUUCUAGACUCUCCAUGUAGUUGGUGGUUGGUGGCAACAGUGCAGGGCUCUAGUUUUUAAUGAUGAGUGGGUGUAGAAGAUGACCCAACACAAAUAAAAAAUAAUGGGAGUUUAUCAAUGUGAAUGAAAAAAAAGAAAUUACAACUUGUUGUUUGGAAAAUAACACAGAGAGGAGAGAUACAUUUGACAUAGGAUUUUUGACUCAUAGUGGAUCAUUAACGAUGAAGAGAGUUAGAAAUAAUCAAUUCAUUUUCUUUUAAAUAAAUUAAUAUUUGAUGAUAUGGACCCUCAUUCUACCCUAGGGCUUGAUGGCAUGCAUGUGGUAUUUUACAAAGAGUAUUGGGACUAGGUAAAAGAGGUGAUGUUAUAAAUAUUCAAACUACAUAUAUACAAAUGUACCCAACUUGGGGAGACUUAAAUAAGAUCAAAUCUCUCUAAUUCCAAACUUAAGGGAGACCAGUACUAUAAAACGAUAUAGGCCAAUAUACUUACUCAAUGUGGAUCACAAGUGGUUUACUAAAGUAUUAUUCGCAAACUCGCACUAGUAGUAGAGAAGAUCAACACAUACAUUCAAAGGGAGUGCUCAUAUACAUGAACUUUCAUACCUUUGGGGUGCAUAAAUUAUUCCCAUUUCAUGUGUUUUUCUCUAUGAAAAAACACUGAUUCAUGUGACAUUACUAUGUGAUUCCCAUGAAAUUCCUGCAUUCCAAAGGGACCGAGUGAAAAAUGCUAUUAUUUAAAGUUGGAUUUUGAUAAAUCUUACGAUAAGAUAGAGUGGAAAUUUAUAUGGGAGAUCUAGAGAGUAAAAACUUUGCUAGGGAAUGAAUGGAGAGUUUGGAUGAGACAACUUAUUUAAGGAAGAAGAGUGGGUAUCACCAGUGGCGUUCAUGGAAAUUCUUUUUAAGGGAUUGAGACAUGGUGAUCCACUCUCUCCAUUGAUGUUCUACCUUGUGCGAGAUGCUCUAUAAACUGUUGUGGGAUGCUAGGGAUUGUGUACAUAUUAUUAGAGGACUAAUUCCCCAUCAUAUAGAUGGAUGUAUUACACUUAUAUCCUGCAUAUGAUGCAUUCAUUUUUUAUUGAAAAUGAUGGAAGGUAUUGCUAACAUCAAAUUUCUGUAAUGUUGUUUUGAGACUAUAUUUGGCCUAGAAAUCAACUAUCAAAUGAAUGAGGUGUUUAUAGUAGGAAUUAAUGAACUCGAGUAGGAAAAAUUAUAGAUGUUUUUAACCAUAAAACAAGGCACUUAUGAAAUACCUAGGCAUUCUAGUUGAUGUGUAUUAUACGAAUAUGGAGAAGUUUGGGUAUGUCUACCAAAAAAUAGAGAAGAGAGACCAACAUAGCAUAGUUGUAUGCUAUCCUAUAUGGACGAAAAAUAAUUUUGUGCGAAUCAUGCCUAAGUUCAAUCCCUAACUAUGUGAUGGGUAUGUUCAUUUUUAUGAGUGCACAAAUGGAAACUUCUAGAGAAACCUUUUUAUAACAUGGGCAAGGAAUAAAAAAGGCAUCAUAUAGUGAAAUGACGUAUUUCAUACACCAAAAGAGAGAUGGGUUGACUUGCUUUUACUUACACCAGAGUGAUGAAUAAGCGUCUUCUAGCGAAAUGGACAUACAAAUUGGAAUAGGGAGACAAUAGUCCAUAUUGUGAGUUGCUCAUAAACAAGUAUUUUGGAGAAAAAGUUUCUUUAGUUCUAACGACUAACGUACAAUAGAGGUGGUUCAUAGUUUUGAUUUGGGCUACAAGAAGCUAAAAAUGAGUUUCUAAGAUGAUUAAAUCACAUAGUUCAUAAUGGGAAAAGACAAGAUUUUGGCUAGAUGUUUGGUAACUAGUAGGAUUGGACUAUGGUAAAAGUAAUGAGGGGAGAUAAGAUGAAGUUAAGUUUUAGGAGGAAUAUUGGCACAAUUGAAUGCUCAGAAUGGGAUGAGAGCAGAUCUAAUAGACUCAGUUAUACUUAGUGAUGAGGCAAAUACACUAUCUUGGGCGCUUGAUAAAUCUAGAGAAGUGUAAGCUAUGUGGACUAAGAGAAACAUGCGAUCAUAUUAUUAUUAAGUGUAUUGUUGCACAUUUUGUUUGGUGGUGUUAUAUAGAAGUGCUUCUGGAAUACUAUGCCAAUGUUCACACAAAGAUUUUCUAGUUGGAUAUCAUGUAUGCUCAAAAUAAAAGGAAGAGAGAGAUUUUGAUUUACUUGCUGGAGUGUAUAUGUUGGAGUCUCUGGUUAUUAAAAAUGGUAAAGUAAUAGAAAUGUAGUUGUGACUUCACCUCACCAUUCAUUGUUCUCUCUGAUUUUUAUGUAGACAUGGAACAUUCUCCUAAAGGCACAAUAUCGAUGAUGGGUGUGUUCCAUGUAGUUUUAUGUAGACAUGGAACAUUCUCUAGCACCUUCAACAAGCGAUGAUCCUGCGCCUUCAGGAGAAUGUUCAAUGUAGUUUUAAUGUAGAGGGAGUUUCCGUAUGGUUGUGAUAACAUUUGCUUCAUAAGUUUGUGUGACAAACCCUAUAAGCUAGUGUCCCAACCUAAAUUGCUUUCUAUAUAAAGUUGGGCUGAUCUGUCUAUGGUCUAAAAAAAAUAAAGGAUAUGAGAACUGGAAAACCUCAUCAAUGGAUUUCAUGGGACUUUGUGAGCAAAUGAUUGGAUAACCCAUGACACCACGUAGAUUCAAAUAUGAUGGCGAUGAUGGAGGUGGUCAGGGUUAGGGUGCUUAAGGGGUUUUCCAUGUACGGUUCUAAUCGCUAAUACCAAACUUUGAAGUUGCAACUAAGAAAUUAACGGCGGUGGUCUAGGAAGCAAUAUAAAUGGGUGGUGCCAAUUGUCAAGAGACCAUUAUACAACAAAUGCAUGGUGAUAAAAAUAUUUGUGGCAACCUAGUGGUGCAGGAACAAGAGGUGGCAAUGGUUUGCUUGGAUGUUGCCGGAGUUACUAGCUUGUUGGUGGACGAAGAGGAGAUUGAGAUGCGAUAGGGCAGCCAUGAUAUUACUAGAGUAGCCAAAGGCAUCAGUAGUAGCAUGCUAUGCUUAGCUUGCAUCGUUACAAAAUAUAUAUAUGAUGUUGUUAGUUUGGAUAGCUACCUUGCAAUCGUAAUAUAUUUUUGAGUGUUCACAACUAAUAAAUGACUAAUGGCAAUAGUCUUAACAAAGUGAAUAAUACCGACAACAUGAUUUUUCGAGUGCAUAUUACUUAUUACACAUGAUUUUAGGUUUCGUAAGCUAAAUAUUGCAGAGGAUAAGCUUAUUAUCUUUCAUACAAAGAAAAGAAACUUCAAUAUAUCUCCUUAUUAGUCAUGAUAUAAAUCCACGAUGUGCAUCAUUUCAUAAGAUAUAAAACGGUGUGGAAGUCUUUGCCAUAUACCACUAUCGCAAUUAUGACCAAUAAUUAUCCCAUGACAAUUUGUAGAAAAAGGAUAGCAUAAGAAAAUUUAGAUGGUAUAUUUCCUAUAUAUAUAUAUAUUUUAAAUUAAAGAUGUUUUGGCUUUUCUCCUAGAUACAUAUAUUUGUUUUAUUACUAUGUAUUUAGACACAGUGUAUGUCUAAGUAUAUAGCAAAAGAUACAUAUCUAGAAAUAUUAAAAUAUCUUAUAGUUUAGAACAGAAGGAGCAGUAGACUUAGCCAUAUCUACAUACUAUUGCUAACCUUGUGUGUCUAGAGGCUACAACUCGGCUCUAAGAUAUUUUACAAUAAGCUCGCAUGUAAUCUAGAAUUUUUUAGAUAGUGAUUUUGAAGAGACGACGAACUCCAAAAGAUUCUUUAGAGCAAAAUUUACAGGACCAAACCGUUAAUCUUCUGGCCACAUGAACUAAUCCGGCUGUGUGAAGGGGAGAAAUAUUGACACACCGUGUAUUUUUUUUUUGAGUCACCGUGUUAGUUCUUUCGAAAAUUAUGAUUUUUAGCGUCACAAUUUUGACCAUCGGCUGUAACGUCUCUCAAUGGGUUAGGUAGUGGGGUACAUACGACAUAUUUUACCAACUCUGUAAACAUCGUCAAAAUUAAAUAACUAGUAGCAUCAUCAUCAUUACUCUGAUGCGUUUCAAGGAUGCCGCCAAAUUUAGGCGGCGAAAUGCCAUUUUGAAUUUCAAUUUCAAAUUCCCCGUGGGCGCAGCCGCGGCCUGCACACCAGGAUACCCUCCCAAGCCGCCGCCGCCGCCGCCGCCUCCUCCUCAUCUUCUUCCUCCUCGUGUUCGUCUUGUUCCCCUCCGGCCGCGCAGGUUGAUUUGAGCGGCCGGCGUCGAACCGAAUCCCAUCCCAGGAGGACCAUCAAAAGCCGCCGCGCGCAGACAUCCAUCCAUCAUCCCAUCCCGCCCGUGGUCGCCAUUGCUCGCCGCACAGGGCAGACGUGUGCACACCGCACACGCCAACUCACUCGCCAAGAACAGAAGAGGGAACAGGAAACUGACGAGCUGACGAGAGGGCGAGAGCGACAAAAAAAACUGACCCUUUCUCUCACGUUAAAAUCCCCCCCGCUCCCCGUCUGCGCUCUCCACACCCCCCAGCAAUCCCUACCCUAAUCCCUCCCCCGCCGCCGGCGCCCAGAUCGCAUCUGCGCCCUCGCCGAUCGCCUCCCGUAACCCCCACACAGCGCAAGCUCCUCGCGCCGUUCGUCGAUCGCCGGCUGAAGCGCCCGCCGCCUGUAAGCGGUUGGCCGCCGGGAGGAAGAGAGGCUCUCCGCUCUCGUAGCGUGUUUCGGAUCGGGCUCCCGCGAUCGACCAUGGUGGACGUCGCUGAGUGCUCGGCGGCGCCCGUGCCCGUGCCCGAGGACGAGGUCGAGCCGGCGCACCCGGACCCCUCGUCGAUCCCGCCCGACGCCUGGCGGCGCUUCGAGAGCGCCGCGCUUGGUGUGGUGAACAAGAUCCAGCCCACCGUCGCCUCCGAGAACUUCCGCUCCGCCGUCAUCGACUACCUCAAGCGCCUCCUUGGAUCCCGCGCAGGGGUUCAGGUACUCUACUUGCUCUGCUCUGGAUCUACCUUCCCUGCGGCUACAGUUUUGUUUUGCAGUCCUAGUGUUCUAGUAUAGCUUAGAGCUCUCGGGCUUUACGCAUCAGUGUCUAGAUGUUUGCUCAGUCUCUGCUGCGAUAUGAGCAGCCAUAUCUGGGUGCUUUGGGAGGAAUUUAGUCACUACUGUCUCAGUGCCCUUGUUCAUGUUUUAGGUCAUGGAAUUGAAUAGUUAGGGUUAACAUGCUGGCUGUGUGUUCCUGCUGUAGAGUUGGUUGUUGCCAUUCUUGCCAUUUCAUUUUUAUGUGUUUUUUGGCGCGAAACCGGUAUAUAUAAGAGCUUGUGUUUUUAAAUUCUUGUCGUUUGUUGCGUGUCAAGGUGCGUGAUUAUGAGUAUAAAUGUGUAACGGUAUGGAUAUACUUUGUCGGUUGCGCACUUGAGUCUCUAUGUGAUUUGGUGAGUAGGACUACAGGACCUUUUAUGGCAUACAAAACCUAGAUGUUUCAUCAGUCUCUGCUAUGCUGAAAGCUUGUCAUAUCCUUCAGAUCACUCCAAUGGCUGUUUGGGUGCUUUAGGAGGAAUGAGUGCUUUAGGAUGAAUCAGUCAUUACUGUCUCAGUGUCCCUGUUCAUGUUUUAGGUCAUGGAAUUGAAGUUAGGGUAAACAUGUUGGGUGUGUUCCUGCUGUGGAGUUGGUUGUUGCGAUGCUUGCUAUUUAAUAAUUGCUGGCAUGUGAUUUUUGGUGCGAAACUGGUAAUAUAGCGAGCUCUUGUUUUUAAACCCUUUUCAUUUGUUGCUGGGGUCCUUUAGGUGUCAAGUGAUUAUUGGUGAUGAGAGUAUAAAUGUGUAACGGUAUGGAUAUACUUUGUCGGUUGUGCACUUGAGUAUCCACGUGAUUUGGCGGGCAUGACCUUUAAUGGGAGGGUGAACUAUGUGUUGGCAUGUGUUUUUGAGUACCGCAUUAAACGCAGCAAAAUUGUUGAUAGUGUAUUGGAGGUCUGGGCAUGCCAUUUAUCUUAGUGUCUGUUUUAGUGACGUGUCCCUUCAAACAUUGCUCAUGUUAUUUGGAAGGAGCAGCUUUGGCCUUUUGUUAUGCCUCUGUCAAGGUGUCAGGACAUCUUAAACUGAUUUAUUCUAGCAACCUGACUCUAUCUAAGAUACAUUAUUUGAAUAUAUAACAUGUAUAUCAUUAAUUGUACAUUCUUAAGAUGUGCUCUAGAAGCAUCAUAAAUUAUGGUACAAAUGAAUGAUCUUUGUGUUUGUACAUGUACAAAUAUUGAAUAUGUAACUGAGUAAAACAUGGAACUUUGUGAUUGAGUGGCGUUUCUGCAUUUAUAUACUUAAUUACUCAUAGAUAGUUGCUAGGAUUGAUUGUAUCGUGAAAGGAUUAUAUGUAAAUAGCCAUGAUAGUUUUACCAAAUUUAUGCUACAAUUGUUGUAGUGUGAUGAUUGUACCAAACUAUGAUCCUAUUCCUAUCUAUGAGUGAAUCGGUAGAUAAAUCUAGGAGUAUAUGGUGUAAGGGUUUAAAAUUUUACUCAUGUUUUUGACUUGGCUGUCGUUGUUAAGGUUGUUUUGGAUUGCUGUUCAUAUGAGUGGACACAUAGAUCUGGCAGACAUGUGUCACAAUUUGAGAGGUAAAUUGGCUACAAGGCUUACAGGGAUAAAUUCAGUUGUUUAAUAAUAAGCCACUAAGGCAUGUUUUAGUGGAUUACUUGUUUGCUUCCUCUGCAUGUGCCUGAGUGAGAUAUCGCAAUUUUACCAAGGUUUGGUGCUGUCUUAAUGCUAUAUUAAUGCCAUUUCAGAGGGAUUGUACUGCAAACUUAACCUUUACGUUUGUAAAACAUAGGUCUUCCCAUUUGGGUCUGUUCCACUGAAAACAUAUCUUCCUGAUGGAGAUAUCGACUUGACUGCAUUCAGCCCUGCGAUUUCUGAUGAGAAUCUAGCAAAUCAAGUCUAUGCUAUUCUAAGUUCAGAACAGCAUAGGAAGGAUUCUGAAUUUGAUGUCAAGGAUGUCCAGUAUAUCCAUGCUGAGGUAUUUCAAUUUACCAUAUUGCUCUGUGUUUCGAAUGCAUAUAUAUGCAAUUUGAGGUCAAACAUUGAUAUAUCAUCUUUUGGAUUUUUCACUUUACUGGAGGUGUUUGUUUCAUAUGACCACUUGUCUAAUUAACAUACUUCGAAAUCCCUGCACUCGUACAUAUGAACAUCGAUUUAUGUGCAUUAUGUAAAAAAAAUGGAAUUUCCCAUUUCUCUAUACUUGAAUGCAACUCUUUGUCUUGUUUAAUUAUGACAUCGGUGGAGCAUAUGAAUGUGCCGCUAUUUCUAUAGGUGAGAAUGUUAUUUCAUGUAUUGUUAUCCUAUGAUAAAUCUUCCUUAUGGGCUAUGGCAGGUUAAACUGGUAAAAUGUCUUGUACAGAAUAUUGUUGUAGAUAUAUCUGUGAAUCAAAUUGGUGGACUCUCUACGCUCUGUUUUCUGGAGAAGGUAAUAUUUCAAUGUUGUUUGGUUCUUGCUGUUGUCUUUCCUUAAACCUCAGAUCUGGUACUUGUAUAAUCCUCCUUUCCAAAUUAUAAGACGCUUUAACUUUUAUAUUAUAGACGCUUUAACUUUCCAAAUUAUAAACUACAUAUCUAGAAAAGCCAAAACAUCUUAUAAUUUGAAAUGGAGGGGACAGUUAAUAACAUAAAAAGCAUUUUACAAGGACUACUGCCUUCUUCGGAGUUGCUUAUGCCUUCAUUUACAGGUCGAUGAAAAUUUUGGAAAAAAACACCUGCUCAAACGAAGCAUAGUGCUUAUUAAAGACUGGUGUUACUACGAAAGUCGCAUCCUUGGUGCUCAGAAUGGAUUGCUAUCUACGUAUGCCUUGGAGGUUUUAGUUCUGUACGUUUUCCUUAUCUUCCACAGGUCCUUGGGUGGUCCCUUAGCUGUAAGUUUUGGCCUGAACUUUGCUGUUGCAUCUAUCAGUUUUUUGUGACCUUAUCAAAGUUCUUCAAGAUAGAGUACUUCCCAGGGGUGAAUGACUAUCUGCCCUUCUGCAGGUCCUCUAUAGGUUUCUCGAUUUCUAUAGUAAAUUUGAUUGGGAUAGCAAGGGAAUCAGCUUGUUUGGUCCUGUUUCCUUAUCUUCACUACCUAAUCUAGUUAGUAAGUAAAUGAACUCUCAAUAAUGCAGUAUGUUGGCUUGAUGCAACGUAAAUUUAUUGAUCAUUGACAUGACUUUUAUUCAACAGCUGACCCUCAUCUACCAGCUAUUGAUGAUGAUUUUUUUGUUCCACGGGAAAAGAUUCUUAGAAAAUAUGCAGAAGAUUUUAGUGCCCCUCCUAGAAACUCUGAGAGAGACGCACAAGUAUUUUCUCGGAAGUUUCUAAAUAUUGUUGAUCCACUGAAACAGAGUAAUAAUCUUGGACGCAGUGUCAACAAAGGUAUUGUUCUGCCUCUUGAUGUGAAUUGUGGUAGUAGGGACUAAUCAGGUACUAUGGUGAUUUCCUAAAAAGAUUCAAGCUUAAUUGUAUUAUUCCAUGUGCAGGGAACUUUUACCGAAUACGUAGCGCAUUUGAUUUUGGUGCUCGUAAGCUUGGGAAGAUUCUUCAAAUGCCUGUCUGUUAUACUGUCAAUGAAGUGAAUCAGUUCUUCUCGAACACAUUAAAGAGAAAUCAUACUGGGUUCAGACCAGACGACGGCAGUUCACCUUUAUACAGCAAUCCCUAUGGUGAUCUGUCUUAUCAGUUUAAUAACAUCUUGAAUGAUCUCACUGGAGAUUUCGAGAUAAACUUCCGUAAUCUUCAGUAUGCGCAAGGGUUCCAGCAAGUUAAUCCAGCAAACUCAUUUUACUAUGGAAGGCUUGCUCCACCACCCCUGCAAUAUCAGAACACGCACCCUUCAGAUAGUCAGGGAAGAAAAAAUCCACAUGCAUAUGCUAGCAUGAAUGGAGCAAUCCCUUGUCCUCCUUACCCAUCUGGUUGUCUUGCGUGGAGGCCAUUUAUUCAACCAGAUGAUCCUAUGGCUAUGAGGGCCCGUGGAAUAGGCACCUACUUUCCUGACCCAGUAUGUUCCCUCCAUGGACAUUCUAGAUAUGCUUGUAGAACUUAAAGUAACAUUUCUGAAUAAUCUGUAUCUGUCACUUGCCAUGUGUUCUUUUUGUUUCAAAUGAUGUACAUGUGCGCACAUAUUAAUGUUCUUCUAAUCUGUUUAUCAUUUUAUUAGAGUUACUAUCCUUUUUCAUAUGCAAUAAUCUUGAAGAUGUCUCCAUUAUGCUUAUGAGUUUACUACAUAGUAGAAUUACUUUAGGUUGGUUAGGCAUCAAAUUUGUAUUUGGACAGCUUUGUCUUGUAUUCGUGAUAAUUUUGUCUUGUUGGAUGCUGUAGAGAUUGUGCAAGGAUAGACCACCCGCUGGGCGUGGGGAGAGAGAAAAAAAUCAGUUCACCUAAAAUAAUUAUCAUCACUAUGUCAGAACAGAUAUGCCUGCAGUAUGGGAUCUGGUCAGGAAUUUGGGCAUGAGCUACCACAGAUACAUAUUACUGGUGCAACUGAUCAUGGAAUGCCGGCCAUCUCCAUCUCCCAACUCUCCAAGAGAUCAAUUGAAGGUACGAGUUCAUUCUCCAUCUUUCCAGGUUCGAAGGGAUAAUUUUCAUGGCAAUGGUUUCAUGCUCCCGCAAGACAGUAAACUUGAGUCUGGUACUUUUGACAGUAAACUUGAGGCUGGGACCUCUGGGGCGUUGCCUUUGGAAGUUACCUCCAAGGACCAUGCUAGCAGAUCAGAAUCUGCUUCCAGCAAUCAAGUUUUUGGACCUGUGAGUAUUGUUUCUAUUCUCUGAAACACUACGACAGGUUCCAACCGAAUGAGGUAGGUAUGGCAUAUUAUUUUCAUUGCCAGCACUAACAAUAAUUGUAUGACAGAAGUGAUGUUUAAUUUAGUGGACAUUUCCAUGCAUGUUACAACAAUUAGAUGUUUUACUCUCCGUUAGUUUAGUGUUUCUGCAAAGUUAUUUAGAUGGUUGUGAUGUUCACUGUUGGGCAUUAAGGCCAGUCUCAAUGUGAUUUCAUCAGAGUUUCAUGGGCAUUAAAUAUGCUGAUGUGGCACUGUAUUAAUGAAGUGAGAGAUGACAAGAGUUUCAUAGGAGCAGAGAGAGUUUCAUCCCCAUGAAACUCUUCCGCACUGUUUCCAAAAUCAGAUGUGUUGCAAAGUGGGACAUGAAACUCCCCAUUGAGACUGGCCUAAUACAUGGAGUAAAUUGUAUCGUAACCCCCUAAAACUUUUGAGUAUAUCUUACUGGGGUCCUUGGUCUUGACUCUUGAGAACCACAAAUGCAUACCCACUAACCUUAUAUAAUUGAGGACAGGGGAGGUUCAAUCCUUUGUGAUUGAUAAUUACUAACAAUGGGAGACCAUUCAAGUUGCCGUUGGUCACACUAUUAUUACCAUGUAAAUCAACAAAGAAUUGAUGUCCUUGGAUUUCGAUGUCUUUUCAAAUUUGUUAAUGCAGAUUUUACUAACUUACCAUUUUAAGCUUACUGAUGUAUAUACGUCUAGAUAUGUUUGGGGCUAUUAAUGUGCAUAUUCUCAAACCUAUGGGAUAUGGACCUACCCACACUUAUUUUUGAUUUACUCUAGCCACACUUGUUUUCAAGGCAGAAAACAUGCUAGUUCAGCUUAAAAAUGCACUCCUUUUCCCUCGUACCAUCCAUCUUGUAGGUUUUGUACUCAGUUUACAGAGUUUACAAUGUCUGACCCCGCACUGUACAAUUUUACAGGAUUGCGGAAUCAUAUCUCCUCAAGGACAACAUGGACUUCCCACCAUAUCCAGUUGAAUGUUGGUGGUGAUACACUGUAUGAACUGGGAGGUAACAGGCAACGCCGCACUAAACCACUAAGAGAAAAAUACCAAUGAAUGGUGUGUGCUUACUGCAGCAAUGGCAUGGAGUUGCUUCGUCGAAUUAGACACCAUGUUGUACAUCCUGCCACUUCCUUCCUGUACUCCAGUUGUCAGAUUCACCAGGUCGCUGCAAUCAGCCUAUGCUUCUUUCAUGUGCGAAAGGAGAAAAAAAGGGGGCCAACAAGAAAAGGAAGAAAGGAAGAAAGAUGGGGUGCUUGGACUUGAUGUGUAGAUACUUUUUACUGGUCAUGGCAGGGAAGAGAUAUGUUGGAGCGCUUGUUGGUUGUGUUGUUUUGAGCUAGGGAUGAGGGGAGCUGGAGCUUGCUAUGCCCAUGUGUAAAAUGUAAUGAGAAUAGUGUUGUAACCUCUGCUUGCAUUUGGAUGGAGGUCUUGUGUUGAAAAGCCCUGCUGUUUGAAGUAACUUUAGGUGUUUUAAAAAUGGCUAGGUAGACAGAAUAUAUUGGAUUAAUAGUGAAAAUUGAAGUAUUUAGUCUUUGCCAUAAGAAAAAUGGCUAGGUGGAGAGAAUGUUCACAUUCCAGUAAUCUAUGGAAUCUGUUUCAAUUUUAUGCUAGGUAAUGGUGUCUUAAGUGAGAAAAAAUUGUUGCUCAAAUCAUCUAAACGCAUAUAUGUGAUAACUAUAUGUAUCAGAAGAUAGAGAAGUAGUAUGCUAGCUAAUCUAUAAAAUUGUUGUUCCCUAGCAGAAAAGAAAGAAAAAAAAGGUUUUCUUCACAAACACAAACAAGGAUUCUGUUUGUCUUGUGAACCUAACAAUAUGUAAGGCAAAGUCCGUACUUCAGUGCACUGCACUGCAAGAUUACAGGUCUGUGCUGCUGAGUUGUUUUAUCUUUGUUUCCACUCGGUGAAAUGCGUGUAUUAGGGAAGGUCUAUGUCCUUUCGAUCAGUCUUGACCUGGUUUGCUUAGCAGCAAAACAGACAUACAAUCCACAGUAGUUUAGGGCAAUAUUUUCAUUUCAUGUCAUUUUCAAGACCCCAAUAAUUAUGUUUAUUCAUUCUCUAUAUGAGAUAUCACAUUAUAGCAAACAAUAAUUAUUUCUACUCAGAUUGAAGCCAUGCUAACCCGUGGUAUGUAUGUACUUCAAUUAUGCUCACUUCUGUAAUUUUGAUGUGGGACUGAGUCAUGUUCAAUGGUUCAUUUGGUUUACAUACCGCAGUGGAAGAAAAAUAAUCAACCAGACCAAUAUACAUUGUUGGCGUAAAUAGUAGUUUGUAAGAGGGCUUAUAUGUAAUAUUGAGAAGAAAAGGAUAAACAGACUCUAGUCUAGGAGUGAGCCAGCCAGAAAACUUCCCUCAAAUUUCAAUAUGCUAUCCAGAGCUAGGGUUAGGUUUACCUCAGGUGGUGGCACGGGCGAGUUGCUGUGACGGUGCGCCGGCAGGGGCUGCGCGGCCAGGCGAAGUGGAGGUGUGGUCGCGCGGGCCUGGCUCGGUGUGUGCAGGCGUGAACAGGAGCGAUGCGCGGGCAUAAGGACGUGCGUGCGGACCAGGUGGCACGUGUGUACGGGCGCGAGCUGCAAGUGCAGGCUGGGGCGCGAGGCUUGUGCUCGGCUGCUCGUGCAGGUGUGGGCGGCAGGCUUGUGCUCAGGCUAUGCGUGGCUGUGGUCAAGAGCAGAGAAAGAGGAGGCUAACAGGCUCCUGGUGUCUGC